rnacentral:lncRNA from 1 species
AGUCCUUCCCUCCUGUGGCUGGUGGGGUUGUUCCCGGUGGAAGAAUAGGACCUACAAUUGGCAAAGGCGGCAAUGGCAGAUUGGGACCUACCACUGGAGGUAUGGGUAGCCCUGAAAUCGGAGGAAGGGGUAGCUUAGGGACGGUCACUGGAGGAACGGGUAGCUUAGGUACAGUUACCGGGGGAACGGGUAGCUUAGGGACUGUCACUGGAGGAACGGGUAGCUUGGGGACGGUCACUGGAGGAACGGGUAGCUUGGGGACGGUCACAGGAGGAACGGGUAGCUUAGGUACAGUCACUGGUGGAACGGGUAGCUUAGGGAUGGUCACAGGAGGAACGGGUAGCUUAGGGACGGUCACCGGAGGGACUGGUAGCUUAGGGACGGUCACCGGAGGAACUGGUAGCUUAGGGACGGUCACCGGAGGAACUGGUAGCUUAGGGGCUUUAGGGGAGUGCUUUCCGCCCUUCCGUGGGUUGCAAGAGCCGCAUGCGAGAGAAUGUUGGGGGAGAUAGAUAAUGCAAAUGAGGAAGAGGCAAAGAGAGAGAGAUGAGAGUUUGGAGGAGUCCAUGUUGAGUAGAGUGGAUGGUGUAACUAUACGAAAGAGUAUAUGAAUAUAUAGAGGGAAAAUGAGAAGAAGAAUUCACGUGAAGAUGGGGGCUACUUCUGCAAUAAGAAGAGACGCCCCAAAAUAAGCAUGGUUGGCAAUUAUCAUAAGAAUACAAGAUUUCCUUGAUGACCCAUCGCUAUAUAUCAUCACAUGUCGACCACACUUUUUUCACUUUUUUUUUUCUAAGUGCCUCUUGUUCUUGGGUUAACUACAACUUUUAACAACGUGUAACUUCAGUUUCAACAGUACAGUACAUUUAACUUGUAGGAAUUGUAAUGAAUCAACUUAGCGAGACUAGGUCAUUAUGAGAUAUCAUCAAUACUAAAUAACAUUUUGAUGAUGUAAACACUCUAGGAAAAGCAGAUAAUAUAGUAUCAUAUGGUUUUCGCUUUAGUGUGUGGCUUCAUAAGCAUCUCCAUGCAUGAGUCGACUGCUAAGGAACAUAUAGAUCUGCACCAUAGUGAAGACGGCUUAGUCUAUUCAAAACACUAAUGUUGUGCCUUUCGAGGACCUCCCGAGACUCGAAUUCGAAUGCACUCUCCAAAGGUAUUAUGUUAGGGAAAAAACCUUAUUAAACCAAAUAUGUUACUGUUUAACCCAUACACGAAAAUUAGAUAUAUAAAUGUUGAACAAAUAGCAUAUAGUUAUAUCCAAUAUAUACGUACAUGAGAGGUAAAGAAGACAGCAAGACUGACAUGUGAAAUUCGGGAUACACUUUUGUUGUUUGGUGAUUUUGUUACGUAGUGUCAUUAAAGAAACGAUCAUGUGUGCGUGGACCAUCUUCUUCUUUUUACCGCUCAUUUCCCUUUUUACCAUAUCUACUACAAAAGAGUCCGAACUGACCAUUUAAUGAACGAGUACCAUUCAAUUCAUAAACUCCCCGUAUCAAUCUAACUGACACUGUAAAAGUUAUAAUGUUAAUAUAUAAAAAUAAUAUGGUUAUUUAGCAUGAAUAAUAACUUUUUAUAAUUGAGAGUAUGUCUAGCUAACAUUGGUGAUUGGUGCUUACAUAAAUCAUAUUUUUCAAACCACUUAACAAGAACUUUACAUAUUCAAUGAUAAACGAAUCACAUUUAUACAAUAUACCAUUCAAAAAUAAUAUUGUAAGAUGAUUUGAAAUUAAACGAUUGUAAUAUAUAAUGUGUUAAAAGUAAUGUAUUAUAGAUAUCUUGUAAUUAUUUAAAGGGUUUUGUGCAAAAAAAAAAACCACUAACUCAUACAUUUUUCCAAUUUACUAUCCAGCUCUAAUAAAUGCACAUUAAUCCUAUGAAUCUAAAAUAAUACGCAUUGUAACCCUUUUUGACCAUUUUUUGCUACCAUCAAUUUUGUAAAAUAUUGAUAUAUAAUAUGUUAAAUCAAAGCUCUCGCGACCAAGAGUUCAACUCUACCUUUAAAAAUUUUAAAAUGUAAUGUAUGUAACCGUAAAAACGCUUGUAAUAUGCAUAUGAAAUUUAUAUUACAUAUUAUGUUAAACUUCAUAAGAUUAAUCUGCAUUUGUUGGUAGUGCAUUUGUUAGAGGUGGAAGGUAAUGUUGCAAAAAUAGAUGAGUUAAAAGAUUUCUUUUUGCACAAAACCCUUUAUUUAAACUACUAACAAUAUAAUAUAUAAAUAAUUUAAAACAUAUAUCUCUAUAAUUCAUGAAGUAAUAAUGGUGUACCCUAUCCUUACCAACGAAUAAUAAAGAAAUGAUAUUAACUCUGAUUCAAAAGCUAUAUAUAAGAUAUUCUUUUUUUUUCCUCGGGAGGGAUACGAAUCCGGUAACAUGAAUCAGUGUCCAAUAAGAGCCAGUGGUCGUAAAUUCCAAAUGACAGAUGGAUGACUCAUUUUAAUUCGUAACUUUUGUCAGCUGCGAUAUAUGCUAAUGAAACCUGAGGUGCUAGAUUUUGAUUUUAAUGGCUUUAGAUUCUUACUCAACACUCAAUGGCCCACUCGUUAAUCUCUUACCUUCUAAAGUGAGUUAUGAUCCACUGCUUCUUUCUUCUUGUAGAUAGAUGGACCUGUUUUUUUUAGGUUGUGAUUUGUGGACAUUAAUCAACAACCCAUGUUUAUACGUGAUAAUGUCUGGAGCUAUAUGUAAAGGCGAUAUGGAGGACAACAUUCCUCUAUUCUAACUUUAAAAGCCAUGUAGUUAGGGCUGGACACCAAUAUUCUUUUUUUUUUUGCUAAAUUGUAAAUAUCAUUUUGAUGAAAAAUCAGGUUUUACAACAGUUGUAUAACCUAAAACAUUUGAACUCUUUGGCAAAAAAGAAUAAAAAAACGAAGAGCCAAUCGAGAGCUGCAUAGAACUCGGUAGUUUCAUAGCAGCCACAACGCUAUUAACUUGCGAAAAAGGAGUCUGUUUCUUCUUGAGGUGAUAACGUUUUUGAUUUUGCGGUUGAUGCACUUGAAUAUAGAAUGCGGAGAGAGGGAAGUAGCGUUGUGCAGGACAUUGUUAGGCUGCUUCAAGAUGUGGAAGACCUUAGACUGAACGACAAUAAUUUUAAGAACUGAUGAAGCCAAUAUUCAUCAUUUUCAAACAAAAAAUAUCUUUUGUUUGACACCAAUAUCCUUGACCAGCUUCAAACAAAGGAUAUACAUCAUUUUUAAGUCGGGUAAGGCAAAUGAGUAUAAGGAUUCUCAUUACACAUCUGGUUGCCAAAAACUUUUAGUCAAAUACUAGUUACAAUCUCAGUUUUUUACCCCAAACUUUUUGCCACUUAAAAAACUAGGGGUGGGCAUUCGGGUAAGCGGGUCGGGUUCGGGUUCGGGUAAAACCCGAUCAGGUAUAAAGAAGUUUAGGAUCUAAUAGGGUAAAUCUAAAAUAUCGGUUCGGUUUCGAUUCGGGUCCAACCGGGUUCGGAUAUAGAUUUGUGGCCUUUUUUUAUCCAGAUUUUUCGGGUAAAAUUUUGGAUUUCGGAUAAAAUUUAGAUUUUUGAAUAAAAUAUUUGGGUAUUUUCGGGUUCGAGUUUGUUUUUUCGGGUAGAGAAAUUUAGGAUCCAGUAAAGUACAUCUUCGGAUUUGGAUUAAGUUUCAGCUCUAAUUUUUCGAGUUAGUUUCGGUUCGGAUAAUCGGUUCUGGUUUUUUGGCCCGGCUCUAUAGAAAACCAUCAAUAAAUAUUUUAAUCCUAUUUCUGCCUCAUUACUCGAGAAAAUAUUCGACCCGUUUUAUUACUUGAUAAAUUUACAACUAUAUAUUUAUGUAAUCUAUUUCAUAUUAGUAAAAUAUAUUAAAUUUGUUAUUAAAACCAAAUAUCUUUUGAGAUUAGGGCAAUCAAAAGUUAAGGUCAAGCAAAUGUCUCCUUUCUAAAUGUUUUUGUGGGUAACGGUAAAGGACAAAUAUACAGCCCAUGCCCAGACCUACAAGUAGCGACUCCAUUACUACACAGUAAGAUUUUUAUUAAUAAAAAUGUGCAUGGUUUCAUUUAAAAGUCAUUGCUAACACUUCACUUUACAGUAAUAUUCAAUUUCAUACCUUUAAACGUUAAUCAGAAUCGCCAAUUGGAAGCCAGUCACUGGAAUCACCUUCCGAAUCCUUGCUAUGUCCAACUUGGCUCUUGCUGAGCUGAACCCAGCUUGACCCGCUUGCGUUUGAUGCUGGUCUUUUCAGUGUACUCCUGUUGGGACUUGGCUUCUCCGAGAGAUCAUCGACAUCUAAAUCACUAAAGGAGAUUACCUCUUCAUCUCUGAAACUCCUCCGUUGUUCUUCAGAUGACUCAUCACUUAUCUCCCUUUGCUCAAUUUUUAGAGUCUCUAUCUUGUCAAUGACUCCCUCAACGGUUUCUGUUUCCCUACUGCUACCUUCUUCAGGAGUUUCGUGACCAGUAGUGCUCUUGCUUGACCCUGUCUCUUUCUUUUGCAGCUUUAGUAAAAGUUGAUCCCUUGUUUCAAAUACCUGUGCCGCACAAUAUAGUUAUUAAAGUUUCAGAAAUAGGUACAAUAGUAACUUGGGAAAAAAUGCAGAGCAUAAAAGAUAUAAAACAAUCCAAUUUUAAAAGCAUCAGGCAAAAAUACAUUUUUUCCUGAGGCUAUACUUGUUCUUAUUGCAAUCGGUUGAAGGGGUCAUUAUAGCAUAAACGUUUACGAUUUUAAUAAUAUUGGAUCAAUACUGACAUUUCAGAAGAAUGUAUUUCCAGUAUACAGUCUUACCUUGCAUGUUGCUAAGAGUUCAAAAUCAUGCCCAUUCAGUCUCGGCAUCAGCAAAAUAAAAUAAAUCAGCCAGAAGUGUUCAUCAUCCAUGUAACUACUAACUUGAUUCUUCACAGCUACAAGGCCAGGAACCAAAUCUUCAAUGGCUGAUGCAUGUGCCCUUUGAGCCUCAGACAGUUCAAAUUCUGCAAUGUGGACAUGAAAAGUUGGAGAAAAACUUCAGCAUAAUUCAGUAGGUAAAAUUGAUGUAAACCACCAAUGCUUUUUAUCAGGAAGUGUUUCGACAACAUUUUCAAGCAAACCAAGCCUAUAUACAAAAGGUUGUACAGGAUGACGAUAUGCUUCGCAAUAAAAUAAAUAAAAAGAUUUAAGUGGCAUAUGGAUUGAACUAUAUAUAUAUAUAUAUAUAUAUAUAUAUAUCCCAAGAAGAGACUGCAGACCCCGUCAAGUUUAUUCGUAAUUCCUGGAGAUCUAUCUAAAGAACAGGGACUUCAAAAAAAAAAAUUAACUGCAGAAACAAUCAAUCUUGUCCAAACAGGUCUAGAAUAAAACACAUCAAGAGUUAAAGACUGAAGCAUAAUCAUCUUUGGCGACUGAAAACAAGUCAACUAUAUUUCCAAGAACAAUCAUGUUUAUUCCUGCAUGGCUGCAAGUUCGUCGACAAUAUCUUCAAGGUAUGAAAAAUGUGAUCUACAGAGAGUAAUGGGACCCCGAGAUCCUAAAGACCUGAGCUUGAAGAAAUAUAUCCCAAGAGGAGAUGGCAGGACCGGUCUAACCUAAUCUAAAAUACUAGGAAAUCUCUCUAAAGAACACCAGAGGCUACAAGCAAUCAACUGUACAAACAAAAAAAAUAUUUUCCUAAUAAAUCACAGUAAGAAAAUCAUAACUAAACAUAGAUAGUUAGAAACCACCAAUGCGGUGCUUCGACUAUACUUUCAAACUAACAAAGCCUAUAUACUGGGAACAAAAAUAUGCUUGAAGAAAUAUGUCCAAAUAAGCUUAAUCUGUAACCCUAGUGAUCCCACUAGAAAGCCAAUCAACUGUAGAAGCAAUCAAUCUUUUCCAAAUAAAACCUAUUUUAGUAACAAUUAUGUUUGCCUACUGGGAAAAAAAAAAGUCAAUGCAGAGCUUAAGACUAUUGAGAAUCAAGCUUUAUGAUUCCUCUAUUGACUAUACAGGAGCAUUACCAGUAUCGAGUGACAAUGGAAAAUCUGUCCAACAACCAGGUUUCGUCGAGAUUUUAACAGCGAAAUCGACUACUUCUUCAGAGAUUCCAGGAACUUGAUCGUUCAACGGAGAUCUUCUACUACUUUCUCUAUCUCUUAGAUUACUAGGAAAUUGGAGUAAAUUAGAUGCGAAAUUGGAGAAAUUUCCACGAAUCUCGGCUAGAUCGUUGCGGAUCCCGAGAAGACCUAGCUGAGUUGGUGAAUUAUCAGAGGAGAGUCGGCGUUCGUUUACAGGUGGAGAAGGAGGCGGUGCCAGGAAAGCUGCGACGCCACGGAGUAAGGAAGAUAAAUCUUCUUUGACACCGCCAUGAGUUGUGGAAGGAUCGGGAUCGGGAUCGUGAUCGUCAUCGCCGCGAGAUUUGAAGAGCCAAGACAUGGUUUUUGAGUGAGAGAGGUUGGAUUUGGGGUUUUCAGUUUUUUUUGCACGGGGUUACGAAUAGCAAGAGAGAAGAAACGGUACGUUUUAAUACCUUUCCAAAACGCACCGUUUGUUGUUUGUUCGUUUUGAUACCUUCCCAAACGUGAAAUAAACGAACAAUAAUUAUACAAAAUAAACGGAAACAAAACCUACUUUUUAAAACGGGAAAAUAUCGUUUUAUACGUGAUGUUUUUAAGAAUGGUCAUUUUAUAUGUAAACUUUUAGAUCGAUCAAAUAAAAUAUGAUAAAAAUGUUGAUCCGCUAUUUAAACAAAACAUAAAGUUUGCCUGGCCAAAAUUUCCGAAAUGUUAACUUGUAUUAACGGAUCUGAUAACCCUCGUUAGCAGACGUUAGUCGUCUUCCGUUAAUACCAAACGAUUUUUUGUGAUGAGUACAAACCUUAAAAUUCCCAAAUCGAUUUUUCAUUCCCUAAUUCUUCAUAAUCCCCAAAAUUUGAACUAUUCUCGAUAUAUUUUUUUUGAGCUCAAAAUCUCCAUUUUGUGUAGAUAUGAGUUUAAAAAAUUUGAGUGUUCAAGAAGGAGGAAGUGGGAACCUUGGGUUUCCUUCAAAGUGUCAUUGGGGGAGAGAUUUCAUCAUCUAUAUAUCAAGCUCGACGAAGAACCCAAGAAGAUCCUUCUUCUGUUGUCCAACAUAUCAAGAUGUAAGUAGAUUUGAAUUUGUUUUUUUUGGUGUUUGAUCGGUAAAAAGUUGUCGUUGUAAAUGCAGGACCAUUUGUUUAAGUGAGUCGAAGAUUGUGUGUAUGAAGAGGUUGUAGAUGCAAUACUGAUAAUCUCUAUGAUUGAUAGCUAGAUAAACAAUGUCAAAUUUCAGGUUGUAGUCGAGAUUGCAGAAUUAAAGGUUUUGAUCCAAGAAUUGAAGGAAGAUGAAAUGUGGAGCAAAAUGGAAUUGAAGAUAUGGAAAUCGAUGACCAAAUUGUGCUUGGUGUGCCUUUGUAUAACAGUCAUUGCAAUUAUGAUCAUAAUGUUCUAUAAGACCAAAAACCAUAAGCUUGUUCUUGGUUACUAGUGUUUUGUGUUUGUAAUAAAAUGUUUUUAUGGUACUGAAAUGUUUGUUUGGCAAUGAUAAUCAGUCCUAGUGUUUUGUCUUAGUGUUGUGAUUGUAAUGAAAUGCUACUAGAUGCUUGUUUAACAAUGAGAAUCACCAAAAUGAAACUCAUUCAUACAUUAUAAAACUUGUGUCACAAAGACAAGUCGAAACCACAAAAUGAAAUCGAUACUAAGCUUAUGUCAUAAAGACAAAUCCAUUAUGUCAACCACCAAAAAUAAACUUAUGAGAAAGCUUAAGUUCAAACAACAACAAAAAGAAACUUGUGACUAAUCUUGUCUUGAACACUCAAACCAUGAUGCAAAUCCACCAAGUCCUUGUGGUUGAGCAUGUGGCUCAGUUUGUGCUUGUGCUUGUGGUUCUGUUUGGGAUUGUACUUGUGAUGCUCCACCUGUCUCCCUUGGUCUUUCUGAUGUUCCGCCUGUUGCCCUUGGUCCUUGUGAUCGAAUAUGAGAUUGUGAUCCUUGAUGAGGUUGUGAUCCGUGUAUUUGCUCUUGCGAUUCGAGCACUUGAGAUCGUGAUCCUUAAUGAGAUUGUGAACUUUGAUGAGGUUGUGAUCUUAGCACUUGUGAUUCCUCCUAAGUUAAAUAUGACAGUCUGAACAGUUGCAUGAUUAAGUGAGUUGUAAAACAUAUAAAAAAAAACAAGAAUACAAACCUGAUUUAUUCGUGGAUGACCUCUUGGUCUCUUUGGUGGAAUCAGAAUAGUGGCAUUUUUGCAGCUUUGCUUGUUUGCCCUUGUUGAAGGCAGUUAGAGCAUGUCAUGAUUCUCUUUUGCAGUGGCAUCUUGUUCUUAUUUGAAGAAGAAGAAGUCUCAUUUCUUCCUUUUCUCCUAACAUAAUUACUCGGUCUUCCAACAUUUCCUUUUGUCCAUGGUGGUGGCAAAACAGGGAGCCUAUUGGUUUUAGGCCACAAUGGCAUACCUUGGACAAGGCUAAUACCAUCUUUAUAAGUUUUUCGCCAGAUUACCUUUGUGUAAAACUUGCUCACAUAGUCUGCAACUGUUUCUCUUCUUCCUAUUAUCACAGGUGUCGCAUAAAUACAUGGGAUCCCCACCAUCUACCACUUCCUGCGACCACAAGUUCUCUUCUCCGUAUCAACAUAGUAGCUAACACCAUUCACAUCAAUUUGAUACAAAUUGUUUCUGGACAUAUAUCUCUCGCAAUUUCUAACCCCAACUAUCAUUUUCUCAAUCUCAAGAUGGGCUCUCUUUGUGAACCUUGUCUUCAAUUUGUCAGCAAUGAUAUACGUCUUCGUAGUUAUGACCAUGCAUUACCUCUGGAUGUACUCUAGCUAAUCCAACAAAGGCUUUCUCCUAGCCUGUUUAAUAGUCUUAUUAAAAGACUCACACUGAUUAUUGAGGCUGUCAUUGCAACGUGUCCAAUUCUAAAGAAGGCUCUCGACCAUGUCAUUGGACUAGUAAGUUGCGAGUGGCAUGCGCAUGAGGAUUGUAUCUCUUUAGCUCUUCCAUAUUAUUCAUGAACACUUCUUCAGUGUAGCUUCAAAUUGUUUUUCAAAGAGACAUUGUAGUUCUAUCUCAUGGUUGUCUCUCUUCCAAUUGUCCAUUAUAUGCCUUGAAUAUUGUCGAUGCUCAACUUCUGGAAGUAUGGUAUUGAUAGCUUUGACUAGACCCUGUAAAAUAACACAAAAACAUAAGCGUAAACCCUUCAUAAAAGACAUUAAACUGAAGCAAAAGAUGAUAAAAUUAACUGAUUAUUUAUCUGAAAUGAUAACUAGAUGUUGCAUUUCACAGUCCCAAACUAGUAGAGAGCUGUCUCAAAAACCAGUCCCAAUUAUCAUUGUUUUCUAUCUCAACAACUGCCCAAGCUAUAGGAACAAUCCUCUUAUCUCCAUCUCUUCCAACUACAGCUAAAAGGUGACCUUUUACAUCCCAUUUUAGAAAACCCAUCUAUUCCUAUCACAGGUCUACAAGUUCGCUUCCAAGAAUCCUUUUGAGAUUUAAAGCAGAUAUAGCACCAGAGAAAAGAAUCCUUUUGUGAUAUAAAGCAGCUAUAGCAUCAGAGAAACCUUUGCUUGCUUCCAAUAAAAAGCCCUACUGUUGUCUCUAUCUCAAACUCUGUCUCUGGGUUCUACUUUAAAACCUCCGCUUGAUAAUCUCAUAUUCUUGAAAAGUGAUCAUUAUGAGUAGCAUGUCAUGCUUUCAACACUUUGGUCUUGGCCUUUGCACAUUGGUCUGGAGUCACAUCCAAAUUGAAUUCUCUCUGAAUCUCAACAACCAUCUCGUUCUUUGAAAUAUUUGGAUUCACUCUCAGCCUUUCAUCAAACAAAAGUGCAAUGGAAGACCGCUUCAACAUCUUUGAAUAUCCUGACCUAACACAAGUAUGCAUAUAAAAUCUUACUUGCAUCUUAUGUUUUGUCUUCUCAUACGAACAAUAUACUUUCCAACCACAUUUAACACCAUCAACACCAAUUUAUGACCACUUCGCAGCAACAACCAUAGAUUCAGACCCAUAAAGAGAAAUGGUAUACCAUGUCUUUAAAGAGUACAUCAAAAGAACACGCUUGAAGUCGUGUUUAUAUCCUCUUCACCGCGUAAACCACCAUUAUAAUCGUUAUCUCCACCACCAACCACAUCAUCAACGACAUUGCAGUCUUCAUCACCAUACACGGCGCAGUCUUCUUCAUUUUUCAGGGUCAGGCUCAAAUGUAGGUUCUUCAUCCUCCUCUUUUUAAUGUCUGACUCUUCUUCGUUUUUGUUUUCAAAGCCGCUUUGAAACUCGAGCUUUAACUACGAUAGAAGACUCUACUACGCCUACAGCCGGCAGAGCUAGAACUCCGUUAUCAAACUCUAAAACUGCUUCCGCUGGUGGAGCUCGAACAACAUCUUUGGUGUCAUCUUCGCCUCGUGGUGGAGCUUCAUCAUUGUCUAAUUUGCCUUCCAUUGAUACAAUCUAGGACUCCAAGGAUACAAAUUCAAGAUGAAAUCAAAUCAAAAUCGCGAUUUCGCCAAAGUAAGAAUUAGGGAUUUGGUUUUUGGAAAUUAGGGAUUUUGAAAUCAAAAUGGGAAUUUCUGUUUCAGUUUAUGAAACGACAUUGUUUUAGGCAUUAACAGAAAAAAUUAACGUCUGCUUACAGGGGUUAUCGGAUCUGUUAAUGCAAGUUAACGUCUCGGGGAUUUUGGUCAGGUCAACUUUAUGUUUUGUGUUAAAUGGCGGGUCAACGUCUUUAUCAUGUUUUAUUUGGCCGACCUAAAAGUUCACGUAUAAAAUGGCCACUUUUGAAAGUUCACGUAUAAAACGACAUUUUUCCCUUUUCAAAAACCUAAUUUAUUUCGCAUAAUUAUUGUUCGUUUUGAAAAGUAGGUUUUGAUUUAAUAUUAAAUUUAUUCGGGGAAAAAGAAUUAUACAUUUACAAGUAGGAAAAAUGGGUAAAAAAAACCUCACCUUUCCCAAAUACAUUUAAAAAAACCUCAACUUUUUGUAGGUUUUUAAACCCUCACCUUUUCAAAAAUGGUAAAAUAACAAUUAGCAUUAUUAAACCAAAUAAAUACAAAUUAAAUACUAAAUAAACUAUUAUAUUAAGACAUAAAAAACAACAUAAUUUAUAAUCUAUCUUUUCCAAAUUUGAGUUUAGGAUUUUUUUUCUUCUAGAAUUUAGUUGUUUUUUGUGAUAUAAAAAAUAAGUUUCAUUGCCAUUAGAAAUUGGUAUGUAAACUAAAACAAUUUAUAACAUAGCACAUUUUAUUUUAUUUGUGUUCAACUAUGUUCUAACCUUUGAAGUUUUGGAUUUAAAAUGGAUAAAAUUUAUUAACACAAAUUUGAUCUAAACUUGAGUGACCUAAUAUUUGUUCUAAACUUGUGUGAUCAAAACUUUAUUCUAAACUUAAGUGUCCAAACCAAAUAAAAUUUUAUUAAAUAUAUUUUAUAUUUAGUUAUUACAAAAUUAGUUUAGUUUUACGUUGAUGAAUUUCUUGAACUCAACCAAAUUAAUCUUGUUUCAGUUCACUGCAUAUGUAGAAGAAUAUAUAUCUAUAUAUAUAUACAUAUAUCAUACCUAAAAUAAAAUAAUUAUUUUUAUCCAAAAUUUAAUUAAACUUACACUCGAAACAAAAUAAAUAAACUUUGAAUAGACUUUGGAUAUGUUAUCUUCAGUAUGAAACCAAUUGUCUGAACCAAAUUUAAAUUGUUUUCACAUAAAACAUUUUACUAGAAGAAAAUAUUUAAGAGCUAUGUCUUUGGUUAGAUUAGAAUCGACAUAUUUCGUUUUCAAGAUUGUUUAGUGGUAGUUUGUUGUUUUGCGUCAAGUUUUUUUUAAUGUUUUCUUUUCCUAUUUUUGUCGGGUUCAUCUCUUGCUUUUGGACCGGUCAAUCUAUAACUUUUCACCUUUAUAAUAAUAGGUAAAGCGGUUGUGUGACUCUUUCAUUUUCCUCUACUCAAGUUUAAGACUAAAUCUGGUCAAAUUUUUAUUAGACUAGUUAUGAUGGUUUGUUAUAAACCAUUUCACAACUGUUGAAAAAAUUAUUUCCACUACAAUGGUUUAUUGUAAUCGAAAAGUAAGUGAGAUGGCAAAUUUAUCAACACUCAUGAGAGUAGAAGAAAGAAGAUAAGUGUGACAAGUGUUAUAUUUUGAUUGGUUGCUUUUUUUUUUUGGACAAAAGCUUGUUUUUAUUCAAUUAAGAGAGAAACAAGUACAAAGGAACAAGGAUUCUAAGAUCCCAAAGUUUAAAGGACAACAAAGGUAGGCAUUCCCAACACCAUAAGAAGAAAAGCUAACACACAAAUAAGGUACAUCAACAAUGGUUCCAUGAGAGCUAUAAUCCAAACACUUGAAGGGAAUUUGUUACUUUUAAGAUCAAGGAUUGUUGACAAAUCUUCCACGAACAAAGUAGUGGAUGAGAGUAUGGUUACUGUCAAAAGACUUAGUAACGUUAACAAGGGCGCCAAAGACAUGAAUCUCGUCGGGACGAGAAGUACUACACCAAGUAGUGCUUUUGCAAAGGUUCGAACAAGGUUUUGGUAAAGGAAGGAGGAUCGUCGAGGCUUAGAAAGAUUGAUGCGAGACCGUAACAGAACAGGUGGGUCCUCUCUCCCAAGAAGACCAAGGAGAUUAAGGAAUUCCACACAAAGCUUGUAGUCGGUUUGCCACAUGAAGAAAAGGCCAGACAUGAGGAAAUUGAGUAGAUAUCACUUUGAGGCACUAGUCAAUAGGGAGGGAUCUCUCACAAGAGAAUUGAGAAGUUCAUGUUGAAGCUUGAUCCAAACCCGGGGAGUAAUGGUGAAUGGGAGGUUCUUGAAGUUGGUCGAUAUAGUUGUCAGUAUGAAAUACUUUGAUAGAGAGUUUUGGUGACUAGCGUCACAUCUCCGACAGAUUGGACUAAGAAACACUAGACCAUGAAUCUUCAAAACGGAAUCAUAAAACAUUGCCCUAGCUAAACCUAGCACCAAGGUUCUCAGAUAAUAUUUGUAGGAGCAUAUCAACGAGGGUGAUUCGUCAUUCAAGUGGUGUCCCUAACCCCUCAAAAUAAAGAAACGAUGUCUACAUUGGGAUAGACUCGGCAAAUUGCAGAUGGAGGAAUACCUGGAUUUUUGUGAUAAUAGGUUUGGGUCGCAAUUUAUGGGCUUGGGCCGCGAGGGAAAUGGGCCAACAUUGGAGACAGGGCCCAUCAAAGAAAACCCUCGAUUCCAGAUUGUUGGGCAAGGAGCGUUGGGAGUGCGGCGGCUACGGUAGAGAGGUACGAAUUGCACAAUUGAAGCAGACGUCUCUGAUGUAAAUAGAGUUAGGGUGAACAAGCUGCAUGACGGGUCCGGCGCUGAGGCUAUAACAACGGCUAAUGGUUUGGCAAAAGAACGUCGGAGAAGCCUUAGGGAGCCGAAAGGUCCCGCAGAUCUAGUAACGAUGAGGAGGCGGAGACAAGGCUCAGGUUGGAAGGAUUGGUCGCCUAUGAAAUUGAAAGCUUCACAAACUGUUUUCUUUGAUUCGCAAGGUUUGGACAGAGAGUGUAGCUUGCUCGGAGGCCACAUUUUGCCUAUGUCGGAGAAUACUGCUUCAAAGAAGAUUCAACAGCAAAGAAGAACUCGAUAGAUUUGGAUUAAAAGGUUUGCAACAGAAGAAAACUAAAUUACAACGAAGAAGUAGAUGAAAGAUUGAGGAAAUAGCUCGAGAGAUGAGAGGGAGGUUCCGAUGCCGGCGAGCAUUUGCUCCACCGACGUCGGAAAGAUGAAGGGAGAUAGUUUCCUCGAUAUUAGUGUCUAUUAGCUCCACCGACGUUGAAAAGAUGAAGGGAGAUAGUUUCCUCGAUAUUAGUGUCUGGGAGAGAAACUCUUUAAAAUCUUAGUCUCGCAAAAAAUUUGAUUGGUUGCUUUGAUUUCUAUAUUUUUUUUCUUAAUUACAUAACUUUAAUUAUUUCAUAAUAUUUAUAAAUAAACAUAUCAAAAUUUACAAUUUUUCAUUCUCUAUAAAUAAACACUAUCUUCAUUUGAUUUGGACAAAACAAAAAUAAUCUUUCUUUAGAAAAAAAAAAGUUUAGUCUCCAAUAAACUUUUGUUUUAGCUUUAAAUAUACUUUUAUCUAAAUGGAUCCAAACAAUAACCUUUCAACACCCAAAACUUUUCUAAUUACUUUUAAACUAUCCAAAUCCCAACAAUUAUUAGUUGCAGGUGUGUCAGAAGGACAUUGAACGAGCAUUUGGAGUGUUGCAGGCUCUAUUUAAAAUUAUUCGCGAACCAGCUCGACUGUGGGACAUAGCCGAUUUGACUAUCAUCAUGAGGUCGUGUAUCAUAUUGCAUAAUAUGAUUGUUGAUGAUGAACGACAGACGUAUACUCAACAUUGGACUGAUUAUGAUCAAUCUAAGGCAAGUGGGCCGAGUACAUAACAACCAUUCUCGACCAAAGUGCUACUUGUAUUUGCAAAUCAUCUGCGUGGUAGAUCCAAGUUGCGUGAUUCAAAUGUACACCGCAAAUUGCAAGCAAAUCUAGUCAAACAUAUAUGGGCACAAUUUGGAAUUUUCCAUGGUGAAUGAGAUUUUUAAGUUUGUGAGUUGAGAUUAAUAUACUAAUUAAGUUACAAAUGUUUCCUUACUUGUUGUGUGCGUAUUGUAUUGCAUUUUAAAUCUAUGUUCAUUGUAUGUGUUUUAGUAAUGAUUAUUUUUAUUUCUAGUUUUUAUUAUUUAUAAAGUUUUUUUAAAAAAUAUAUACAAAUAUUAAAACAAAAACUAUUUUAUAAAAUUUAUUUAAUAUUUAAUUAUUUAAAUUUAAUUUAAUAUUAACGGUGAUUAAUAAUAUUUAAUCACAAAAAACAUAAACAUAAAUAAAAUGAAAAAUAUAAAAUAAAAAUUGUGGGAUAAGGUGUUGUAAUUUUAUCAAACAAAACUAUUGUAGAGGGAAAAAAUUAUGUAGGUGUGGAAUAACGAUGUGGAAGAGAGAGAAAACGAUGUGAAGUGUUAAAAGGGAAAAAAAGGGUGUUGUAAAUGGGUAACCAUUGUAGAUAGUCUUAGGAAGUGAAUGGUGACUUUAAGAUUUGCAGAUUUCGAAAGAAAAAGAAAAAAAUGCACUAAUGUCACCAAUCAGACAUAUGUGUGUAAUUUGUUUUUUUUUACAGAUAAUUUGGCACACACAUUUCAAAGCAUGUUAAUACACUAGGGAUAAAAGAAACACACUCUACUAUCGUCCAAGGGAUAUUUGGCAGCGCUUAACUAAAAACUUGCAUUACACAGUAAGUAAUAAAUCAAUUAUUUAAUUAAUAAUAAAAUGUACCUAUAAAUCAGAUCAUGUACUCUAAAACUAUUCACACAUUACAACCAAAAACAACAUCCUCUCAUAUUUCGCUCCAAUCCAAAAGAAAAAAAAAACAAUCUCCCACCCUUUCGUCAUAUAUUACAACAUUUAAAUGUAAAUUACUUUUACUAUACUAGUAUAAUAAUUACUUAUAACAAAAUAUUUCUAUGUAAUUAAGGUCUCUUUAUAAAUAAAUAGGACUGAAAUUAAGUAUAUAAAAUUGUUCAAAAUUUAGUAAAUCAUAAAAUGUUAUAUUUAUGUACAUAUUUAUAUGACUAUGUUUUAUUUUUAUAUUCAUAACAUCAGUAUUAAAUUUUAAUCAAAUCAUAGAAAUUUUUAAAUAUGUAUAAUAAAUGGUUGUGAUAGUAUUUACUAAUCAAGAUGUAUAUAUAUUUAUUAAAAAGAGAAAGGAAAAUUUUGAAGAUAUACAAAAUUACUAUUUUUUUAAAUUAUAGUUUAGUAUAUUUAUAUUAGAUGGUAAUAUGAUAUUAUGAAUUUUUUCAAAACUUAAUUAAAUCAAUUAAUUUAAUCAUAUCAAAAGUUACUUAAAUCAAUUCAUUUCCAUCAUUAUUAAAUUUUAAACAAAUCAUAGAAAAUUAAAAUAUGAAAAGAAAUGGUUGUGAUAGUACAAUAAAGUGAUUCCGAGUUCCCUUUGCCUCCGUCGGAGAAGUAUUAUCUAGUUGAUUAUGACUACCCAAACAAAUAAGGAUUUCUAGUUCCUUAUAGAUCGUCAGGAAAUCGAGUUGUGAGAUAUCAUAUGUCUCAAUUUUAUUUUGGUCCUCCUCCUAGAAACAAACAUGAACUAUUUAAUAUGUCAUGCAUCUUUACGUUCUGUUAUCGAGAGAACUUUUAGAGUUUCGGAAAAGAAAUGGAGGAAUCUUUUUCAUUUUCCUAGAUAUAAUAUUCAUAUUCAAAAAAGAGUGGUAAUGGUUAUAGUGUGAUUACAUAAUUUUAUCAGAAUUUCAAACUUCUCAGAUGUAGAUUUUCUUGAUGUAAUGACAGAGACAAAUAUAAACUACAGAGAUUAUGAUCAUCAUUUAGAUGACAUAGAAGCAACAGAGAUAACAAAUGGAGAACAUAUGAUGCCAAUAAAAGACAAUAUUGCAAAUAUGUUAUGGCAAAAUCAAAAUAAUAUAAAAUAUUUUUUAAUGUUUUUUAUGAUGAAAUUAGUUAAGGCAUGUAACAAUAUGUAUGUUACAAAAUUAAAUUUAUAUUUUGAUCAAUUUUUGUAUUAGUGGUUUAUAAAUAUCUGUUAUUGUUUAUUUAUUAACACAAAAAAUUAAUUAAUUAUUAAUAUAUAUAUAUAUAUAUAUAUAAUUUAUAAUUCGCACCGCAUGUAGUUUUUUCACCAAUCAAACAUUAUUUUGUACCGCUUAUUUUGAAUAAACCGUACUUAUCCCGCAAAUAUAUUUCUCCUACACGAACCGCAGUUUAACCGUACUACACUUCAAUAACGCUUUCCCCGCACUAUAAAAACCACGGUUACCAUUCGGACCCUUAGAGCUUGUUUAAAAAAUUGCUAGGCGUUAACCGGGCAUUCGGGGACUUAUCGAUAUUAGUUUUUAACAUUUUAAUAUUGAUAUAUACAUAUAAAUUAAAUAUCGGAAUAUAUGACAAUGGAAUUAAUUUGGUUGAGUGUCAUCUUUUUUUAUUUGGAAAUUGCACAAUCUAUACUCUGAGGAGUCGUUAUUUAGGUUCCCAAAAAAGCAACUGUUUGGCUGGUACUGUGGAUGUGGAAAUUGCGCAUGUAUGAAAAUAUAUUGUGUGAGACGGCUUCAUUAAAAUCUUAUUAGAUUAUUAUUGUUCUUCGCAUGUGGUUUUUGUUUUCUAUAUGUUUUUUAUUUAUUGAUUUAUGGGGAAACCAAUCAUCAUCAUCAUUUCCCUUCCAAUACGGAGAGCUUGGCAAUGCGAAAGAUUUGGAUGGCAAAUGUUUGGUAUAAAUUUUUCGACCCGUUAAUAUUAUAAUCUUGAUAUUAUUUUUGUUAACGUCAUUAAUCUUUUGCAGACGUAUGUGGAGCCUAUCAUUUUCCCUGACGUGGAGAUGAACCCGAAAGAAGAUUUAACCUGGUCUGACGAUGAGGAAGAUGUGAUGGGUUGAUAAUAUCGUCAUGUUAGUUGGUAAAGGGAUUACUUUUCAGCUCCCUCCAUUCUGAUUUGCCAACUCCUACAAAUGCUAAGGUUAGUUAACUGAUAUUUAUUUUAUAAUCGUUGUGUUUAGUAGUUUAGCAACUAAGUAUUAUAUGUGAGUAGCUAUAUUUUUUCUUUAUUUUUGUAGCUUUUUUGCCUCUGUUUCAGAGUUUUCAAUUAUCUCCAAGAUGUUGCAGGUAAACAAAUCUGUUGAGGUCCUUGAUCAUCGAGAUGAAGAACCGGUUUAUUUAUUUACACUCCAUUUUUGUUUAACUUUACUGUACAUUUUUGUUAACCCCCUCCAUAUUUUAUUAGCCGGUAAGAUUGUUAUCAUUCAUUUUCUUUUUAAUUAUUUUAUUCUGUCUUGCAGACCAAAAUCAAUCCUUCAAAAUUAACCACUACAGUCGAGGAAGAAAAGGAUUCUAAGGAGGUUAGAUAAUUCUUCCUUGUUUUUAACUUUCAUUUGGUUAAAUCCUUAACCGGUGAUAUAUUGCAUGUUUCAAUUUUAGGAUUUUACCACUCCACCCCUGUCAACCCAGUCUCGCUCUAACGUGAAGGUUAUCUUCUAACUAUGAUGUUAUCGCUUAUUGUUUAUAUUCAUCUUCCACGUUUGUAGGAUGUGGUGUGCCCUGCAAGUGUGUAUGCGGAUUAGCUGUUAAAAAAAAUAUUUCCAAGACGCAAGAAAAUUCGGGCUGCCCCUUCUUCCGCUGUGUAAGCAAAAGAGACGUGAGUUAUUUCCUCUCUAAAAACGAUGUUAUUAGCUUUUCUGGUAGCUACACGUUUUGCUAGUUAACCUAUCAUUCUUUUUGUAGGGACAUUUGUUUAAGUGGGUUGAGGAUGUUGUAUAUGAAGAAGUGGAAGAUGCAUUGGUUAGACUUGUAUCGAUUUAAAAUGAGGUAAAUGAUUAAAAGCGCAGGUCAUCCAGUUUUGUGUUGCUAUAAAAGAGUUGAAGGCAGAUUCAGUGUCCGACCAGUUGGUGAUGCUUAUGUUGAAAGUGGGCUUGCUUUUCAGAUUUGUCUUCUCUCUUUUUGUAGCUUUUGUUAUCGCAACACUUCUUAAAAUAGUCGAUAUUAAGUUCAUUAGUAGUUUUUAAUGUCUAUCUUUGUAAUGUUUCAUAGUUUCUAUAAUUCCCUAUGUUUAAGAUAUUAUAUUUGUUAGUCGUUAACCAUGUAAUAUAUACCUUGUAUCAAUCUUCUGUCUAUAUAAUAUUUUAUAACUUCUCAUUUAUUUCUUUAUUUUUGUACCAUUUGCACAUUCUUUAGGCGAUAUUUAUAACCAUUUUAAAACUUAUCUUUUAUUUUAAUUUUUUGGUAGCAUUUUCACAUUUAUUAAGCGAUAAUCUAAUUCUUAGCCAUCCAGCUGUGGUCCUAUCUUCUUAUUUUAGGACGCUAGUUAUCUUUUUUCUUAGUAUUGCAAAUUUUAAGAAGAGGGUCUAUAUCUUGGUACAUAUUUUGUUACAGAAUAUCAUUCAACAUAAACAUAUAUUUAACAUUCAGAAGGAAGGUUUGUUGGGAUCGUCCCUGAUUGCAGAUAAUACACAUUUUUUGGAUCAGUAAUUGUACGUAUAUACAUUGAAAAUUUUCUGAUCUCCGAAUUCUUGUUAUUUAUAAAACAUGACUUCUCGCGAGUCUUCUAAGCACGGAACCAUCCGUUCAAACCCUCCCAUAGUCCAAAAAAACAGUCCUCUCCUUCCAUCUUCAUCCGCAAAAAAAAAAUUUUCCUCGUCGCUUACUUGCCUCCAUGUACCACAUUAAUUUUUUGAUUAGCAGUCAUUUUUCUUUUUAAUCAGAUAACACCUACUUUAUCGACACUAGUUUCUUCAUACACCAUGGUAAAAGUUUUGUUAUCGGCUGCUUUUUCAAAAAAUGAUAAGGAGCUAUAUAUAUAGAUAGCAAACCAAAGAAAGUUGCCCUAACUACACACCUGAGACUUAAAUGCUCUAUGUUUCUAUCUUCUUUCAAUAUUUAUCGUUUGCAGUGGUUUAUAUGUUAGUUGUUUCAGUUCUUGUUGUUGCAGUAAUGUCGAUAUGGAGAUAAUAAAUAGGCAAACAUCUAUCUUCCAUAUCUGCACAAUCGAUUAUGUAUCAUAUGUAAUCAUUACUUUUUACAUUUUUUUAUUAGUUUGACCAGGGGGCGCAAUAUCUUCGAAGAUUACAGAGCAUUUAAUGCUCGUGAUCUUGCGGAAGGAGACUAGUGAUCCUCUGCUUGUAUAGGAACAAUUAUGUCAUAUUUAAUUUGCAAGAAAAUUUUCACCUAAAUAACGAAAUGAUAUGUAUAGAUCCUUAAUUAUUUUCUCCUGUAGGUAUAUAUAUUUCAUUCACUCUUUUUAGUUUAAUGAAAUAGUAAAUGACAAUAUUAUCCUCAUCUUAUUCUUUAGAUCUUAGCGACUGCAACCCUAAUUUUUGUCGUAUCGUUUUUCACAAUUCUUAUCAUUUUUUCUUACCCUUUAAUGAUUUAUACCCAAAUAUAAUAGAUCUACAACCUAAAGACCGAUUUAAAACUUGUAUUUCUUUUUAAAAAAUGAGUUUUUCUAAGAGUUUUCAAUUUUUUUUGGCGAUUUCAACAAAUCGAGGCGGUGGUGGUCUGAAGAGCGCUUAGUUGGACGAGUAAUCGGUUAGACGACCAAUUUUUAGAACAAGGGUCUUGACAAUCCACAAUGCAAGUGUUGAAUUAUUUAUUCAAUUGUUGAACCUUCACAUUGCACAUGUUGAAUAGUUUAAAAAAUCUUACGUGGAUUCAACUUGGUUGAAAGUAUUCAAUAUGUUAUAAAGAAAAAAUUUGGGCCCGCGCAUGCCACAUGUCAAUAAAUGAGUAAAGGAUGUGUUUCAAACUCGGAGAAAGGAGAGCGUAUUGUCCAAACCUUUUUCUUUUUACUUUUAUUUUUUUUUGCAAAAAGAAGAGAUUAUUGAGAUGCUCACACUUGCUAUAUUUUCAUUAGAUAUUAAGAUUUUGGAGAUUUUAUUUCUAUCUUAUUUAUUUACAAUCAAUUAUUACAUACCAAACAAUUUUUUUUUAAAAACUUAUAUUUAUAUGAAAAUUUAUAAAUUUUUAAACUCUAGAAAUAGAGACUUAGUUCAUUUUAUUUGGACACAUAAAAAAUAUUAUUUCUACCAUAAUUUUCUUAUUCUUCUCCCAUAAACUCUUGGUUAUAUCCUUUUUUUUUAUGGAUUCUAAUAAAAUCCCUAUGCAAAAUUAUACUAAUUUUUCCUUUCCCUAUCCUAAUUCCAACAAUAAUCCUACGCAAAAUUCGACUAAUUACGUUUUUCCUUAUCAAAAUCCCAACAAUUAUCAAUUUCAAAAUCUAUCUUUCAACCAACCUCAAAAUUUCCCAAAUUAUGAUUUUCUACCAAAUUUUUCUAUGCUCUCAUCUGUUCCAAACUAUAAUUCAUAUUAUAGAUCGAUUCCAAAUUCAUCUCAACCACCUCUUUAUGAUUUGAGGUUGUGAUUUUCAUUGACAUCAAAAAGAAAAAAAAAAAAAAUAUCACAGAAAGGAGACAAUGAAUAUGAUUAAUAUUUAAUUGGUAAACUAUUAGAUUAGGCGGGGGUUUUCUCAAAAAUUGUCUCUUUUGUAGGACUGUUGUCACCAAUAUUUUCAGUAUCUUUUACUUUUAUUAAUUUUUAAUAAAAUUUAUGAUAAUAAAAAAAAUGAAAAUAAUCGUAAAUAAAAGAAAAAAAGAGAGUUGUGGGUUCUUUCUUUUUAGUUACCCACGCAUCGCUGUCGAAAGAUUAAUUAUGAAAUCAGAUGUUUGGUUGAGUAUAAUAGUAAUGCAUGUCAUUAGUUUAAAUUUAUAAUAUUAAACAAAAUUAUAAAUAAGAUAUUUGAACAAAACAAAAUUAAGUUAGUUUAAACGUUAAUUGGAAACCAAAUAAGAGAUCUGUUAGGAAAAAAGAAAAUAUAUACCAAAUAAGAGAUACAGGAAAUCAGAAAUUUUAAUAUUAUGUGUUUGAAUCUUCUCACCAAAAAAAAUUAUGUGUUUGAAUCUUCUCACCAAAAAAAAUUAUGUGUUUGAAUCUAAUUGAUUAAUGGACACGGUCUAGUAAAUUAUAAUUUUUUUGACCCGCGAAAUAUAGUGAAACAGAGUUUAUCUCUAUACAACAAGACAAAAAAGAAGUUCUAAGAUCAAACUCUGUUUGAUAUACAAAAAUUAUAUUGUAAAUGAAAAUGGAACUUUGAGAUUGAUCUACAACAAGUCUGCUACACUCAUCACAAACGUAAUGUGAUUAUACACAUCCACGUUGGCCGCAAAAACUAAGGAUCUUGUAUCAUCUGGAUCAACAGACAAAAUCAUAUUGCAAUAGUCAGCAGCAUCACGUGCGAGACUAAGGUCGUCAUCAGUCUCAUCAACAUCACCAUUGCCCAUUGACCGCUGUGCCUUCAUUAGCCCCUCGACAACAGAAUCUUUAUAGUUCUCCAUACAACUCUUGAAACAUGGCUUCUUAGGAGAACCAAUGAGAAACUGUGUGUGCUCUGCCUUCUCCAUGGCUAGAGAAAGAGCCGCCUUAGCCAACUCUAAUACAGUCGAUGCGGAUUUCGUGCGAUGAUCUAACGUUAGGGAUUUGAUACAUUCUUCUUCUAGGGACGAGAAUGACGCGGUGCCUUUACAAGCCUUUGAUAUCAGUAAUGAUGGAUAUGGACAUGUCUUUGGUUUGGUUGAUAAAUGGGUAGCAAUGUUGGAUUUUGCAUUGGUAUAUGGCCACCGCGAGAGGAGAAGGAAGGUUAGGAUAUGGAUUGAUAGGUAUGCAUGAGAAGCAUAUAAACAAACCAUCGUUUUAUAUGUUCAACAAAGCUUGUUCUUUGACUAUAGGUUUAAAUGAAAUAGUAGAUUGAAGUUUGUACAUAUAUUAACUUUUGUUGUGUCAAUGGUUUAAAUUGUCCAUUGUUUAGUUCCACAAGUUUUAAACAUGAUAUGUUAUUUAUAGGUUUGGAAUGAACGAUAGAGGAAAAAUAAACUUGUCAACGCUAAUAAUAAAAGAGUGUAUCGAAAAAGAGAGAAAAAAACAAAAAUUCAUUGUGAUUCUUUUGUUAUUUUGUUUUUCAAUGAUUCAAUUCAAUGUCUUAAUUUCUCUCCUAACAUAAAAGUUAGUUAUGGGCAUUCGGUUAUCCAGUUUCGGUUCGUUUCCAUUCCGUUAUCGUUCUUUCGGUUCUAGAGUUUAGUAUCCAUUCAGUUAUUUUGAUAUUUCGGUUCGUUUCAGUUCUUACAGUUCUAAAAUUUAAUAUACAUUCGGUUAUUUUGCUUUGAGUAUUUUUGGAUAUUUCUGUUAUUUUUAUAUUUUUGAGUAUUUUUACUAUUUAUAUAUACUUUUUAGUAUUUUUAAUUAUUUAGUCUAGAAAUGACUAGUAUUUUUGAAAAUAUAAUUAUAUUUCGGAUACUUUUGGUUAUCCAAAAUAUUUCAGUUUGUAUCCACUCGAUUUCGGUUCUUUUGGUUAUAGAAUUUUAAUAUCCGUUAGGUUAUUUUCAAAUUUUCGGUUUUGCUCCGUUUUUUUACAUCGGUUGCGGUUCGGUACAUUAGGUUCGUUUUAUAUGCCCAAGCCUAAUAAAAAUCAUGUUCAUUUUGGUAUUUAUAGCUUUAGUAGACACAUGUUUAGUAAAACAAAUUCUCAAACAAGAAGAUUUAUGGAAUACCUUGUAAGACUACUUAGACUAGUUACAAUGGUUUGGUGGUGAAAAAAACAUUUCCACUACGAUGGUGUGCUGUAAUCAAAGCUAGGUGAUGUGGCAAAUUUAGUAUUGAUAAAUAUCAAUACCCGUGAAAGUAGAACAGAGAAGAUAAGUGUGACAAGUGUUAUAUUUUGAUUGGUUGCUUUGAUUUUUAUUUUUUUUGUUUCAUCUCAACUAUAUAACUUCAAUUAUUUUAUAAUAUUUGUACAUAAAAAUAUCAAAAUUUAUAUCAAAAUUUCUAAUUUUACAUUCUCUAUAAAUAGAGACUAUUUUCAUUUGAUUUGGAUACAGAAAAAAAAACUAUUUUUAGACCCAAAAAAGGUAUAAUCGCCAAAAAAAAAACUUUUGUUUUACCUUUAAAUAUCUUUUUAUCUAAGUGGAUCCAAACAAUAACCCUUUCAACACCCAAAACUCUUCUAAUUACCCUUUUAACUAUGCAAAUCCCAACAAUUAUCAGUUUCAAAAUCAAUCUCCUAACCAACCCCAACAAUUAUCAGUUUCAAAAUCAAUCUCCUAACCAACCCCAACAUAUAUCAAAUUAUGGUUAUCCACUAAAUUUCUUCAUGCCGUAAGCUGUUCCAAACUAUCGUCCAUUUCAUGGAUCGAUGAUGUCUUAUCCAUCUUAAACACCUCCUUAUUUUCCUACUCCAACAGGUAAUGAAACUGAUUCGAAUCUUGGAGCAACUGAUUUUCCCGAGUUUUCUACCCAAAUGGCUCUUGGUGGUAUUAGGGUAUUCAUGAAGCCAUUCCAGAUGCAAAGGAUUCAACUCCUUCUCGUCGGAGAAGUCCCAAAUGGACCACUGAUCAAAAUUUGGUUCUCCUGAGUGGGUGGAUUAAAUUUGGAAGAGACAGUAUUAUUGGCAAAAACUAAAAAUGUGAGUCAACUGGGGUAAAAUUGCUGAAUAUUGUAAUGAACAUUGCUCAUUUGAUCCUCCCCGUGAUGGAGAAGCAUUCAGAAAUCACUAUAAUUAUGUGAACAAAAGCGUGAACAAAUGGGCUGGCGCUUAUGAUAACGCUAAAUGUAUGCAACAAAGCGGGUGGUUGGAGGAUGAUGUAUUGGUAAAAGCGCAUGAAUUAUAUUCAAGUGCUGGUAAAAGAAGUUUCAAAUAGGAGGAAAUACUUAUUCUGGAAGCAGUGGAUCUAAAAGAGCCCACGAGAGUGAUGCUAGUGACUCAAACUCUGUAGGAUCUAGUGCUCGUCCAAUGGAAAGAGAUGCUGCUAAGAAAAAGCUAAAAAAAAAGGUAAAGGCGCAGCGUUGAAAGUGGUCAACGAAGAGUCGAACGAAUUUUAACAAUUCAAGGCACAAGAGUUGGAUAGGUUGGAGAAAAUAACUAUGAUGCACAGUGAAACAAACCAAUUGAUUAAGGAAAAGACUCAUGCUAAAAAGAUGAAGAUGUUUAUAGAGCUAACUGAAAAAGAGAAUCUCGAUGACAAGAGCAAAAAGCUAUUGCAACAAUUGAGCCACGAUCUAUUUGGAAAUUAAUUAUUGUCAAGUGGUUAUCUGUAUUUUGUCACUUCAUGCUUUAACGUGUGUUUGUCACUUUCUCCUUUAAUAAUUUGUAUUGUCAUGUUAUGCUUUAAUAAUGUGUGUUUGUCACUUUCUCCGUAAUUUGUAUUGUCUUCUAUGCUUUUUUUUUUUGUGCGAAAUAUUGUCUUAUAUGCUUUAUUAAUAUUAUCCAUGAUUUUAAAUAGAGAAUCUUAUCUUAUCCAUGACUUUUGGUUUGAAGCACUCAAUUCGAAUCCAAGGCACCAACAAUUUAAUUCGUUGUUUCCAUUUUUUUUAUAAAUUAGAACUCAUUCUUCCAUUGAUGUACAAACCAUAAAUCUUACCUUACUAAAAAUCUCAAUGGAUCCAUCAGAAUAUCCUUUUGACAUCAAAGCUUACAAGAGGCAGUCUGAAAUUGAAGAGAUGUAUAUCAUCAAUCGGUUUAGGGAGCGUCGAAACAAAAUAGGGGAAGACUAUCCACCUCGUAGCAAGAGAAAAUACUUUAAAAGAGACCAUGCAUCAGCAAAAUUAAAGAAUAUUGACGACUACUUUGCCAAUGAACCUAUAUAUGACGAUGCAAUGUUUCGUCGGUGAUUCCGGAUGAGAAAACAUAUUUUCUUUCGGAUCGUUGAAGACUUAUCAAACAGCGACAACUAUUUCACCCAACGAUAUGACGCAGCCAAGAAAGAAGGUAUAUCUCCAUUACCAAAAUAUACUACGACCAUGCGAAUGUUUGCAUAUGGUGUGGCAGCUGACGCGGUGGAUGAAUACAGUAAAAUUGGAGGUACUACUACUUUAGAGUGCUUGCGAAGAUUCUGUAAAGGAAUCAUAAAGCUGUAUGAGACAGAGUAUCUCAGAGCCCCAACUCAAGAUGACCUCCAAAGAAUUUUACGUGUUAGUGAGAUGCGAGGGUUUCCCGGGAUUAUUGGGAGUAUUAAUUGCAUGCAGUGGGAAUGGAAAACUUGUCCUACAGUGUGGGAAGGUCAAUUUACUCGAGGAGAUAAGGGAACCACCACUGUUAUUUCUGAAGCAGUUGCAUCUCAUGAUCUAUGGAUCUGGCAUGUUUUUUUGGAUGUCCGGGCACACUAAACGAUAUAAAUAUCCGUUCACCGGUGUUCGAUGAUGUUGAACAAGGAAAUACUACAAGAGUGAAUUUUUUUGUGAGCCAACAUCCGUAUAAUAUCGCUUACUAUCUAGCUGAUGGUAUUUAUCCUUCUUAUCCUACUUUCGUCAAAUCGAUUAGGCUACCUCAAAGUGAACCAGACAAGUUAUUUGUACAACGUCAAGAGGCGUGUCAUAAGGACAUCGAACGUGCAUUUGGAGUGCUGCAAGCUCGAUUUAAAAUCAUUCGUAAACCAGCUGGCCUGUGGGACAUAUUCGAGUUGGCUAUCAUCAUGAGAUCGUGUAUCAUAUUGCAUAAUAUGAUUGUUGAGGAUGAACGAGAGACAUAUGCUCAACACUGGACGGAUUAUGAUCAAUUUGAGGCAAGUGGGUCGAGUACACAACAACCAUUCUCGACCCAAGUGCUACUCCUAUUUGCAAAUCAUGUGCGUGAUAGAUCCAAAUUGCGUGAUUCAAAUGUACAUCACGAAUUGCAAGCAUAUCUAGUCAAACACAUAUGGGCACAAUUUAGAAUGUUCUUGUUGUCUGCUUAUUGUAUUUUUGUAUUUUAAAUUUGUGUUCAUUGUAUGUGUUUUAGUAAUAAUAAUUUUUUCUUCUCGUUUUAAUUAUUUGUAAAAGUUUUUAAAAAUAUUAUAUAAAAUAAAAACAAAUAUAAACACAACAAUACUUUAUAAAACUAUUUAAUGUUUAAUUCUUUUAAAUUUAAUUUGAUAUUAACGAUGGUUAAUAAUAUGUAAUCACAAAAAACAUAAACAUAAAUAAAAUGAAAAAUAUGGAAUAAAAAUGGUGGGGUAAGAUGUUGUAAUUUUACUAAACAAAAACUAUUGUAAAGAUAAAAAUUGGGUAGGUGUUGAAUAAUGAUGUGGAAGAAAGAGAAGAUGAUGUGGAGUGUUAAAAGUAAAAAAGUGGGUGUUGUAAAUGAGUAACCAUUGUGGAUAGUCUAAGGAUAAAAAUUGUAUAGGUGUUGAAUAAUGAUGUGGAAGAAAGAGGAGAUGAUGUGGAGUGUUAAAAGUAAAAAAGUGGGUGUUGUAAAUUAGUAACCAUUGUGGAUAGUCUUACAAUGGACACGUUGAAAAAAAUAUUUGAAUAUGGUGCAAUGGUUGUUUUAAUAAAUGUUGUAGAGGAUGUGGCAAAUUUGGUGAGUAGGGAAAAAUAUCGUUUAAUAUUCCAACUUUCAAAUUAUGGCCAUUUUAUACCUCAACUUUAUAUGUGACCAUUUUAAAUAUGAAGAUAUCGUUGACCAACCGUUUAAACCAUAAACAUUAGUUGACCAGGCUAAAAAAACUAACCGUUAUCACUCGUUAACAGAUUAUCUAACGUCCGUUAACAUCUCCAUUAGCUACCCCUAAACGACGUCGUUUUCAUAUUUUAAAAAUAAAUAACGAACGUAGGAUUCAAACUUGUAACCUAGAGAAAAACUAGAGACUUACUUAACACCCUCACCAACAGUAUUUUAUUGGUGAACUUUGAGAAACAUAUAUUUAUUAAAGUUUUCUCCUUCAACUUUAACCUACAAAACAAAACCAUCUCCAUAGCCGCCGCCUCCAAAUCCGUGUUCUCUCUCCAUUGAUUUUUUUAAUCUUAAUCAUAUAUUGUUUUUUGUUGAUUGAAAAAAAUUUGUAUUUGCUAAUUCAAUUCAUCUGGAACCUAUUUCUAUGAACACCAUUGAUGGAUUAGUCAAUUGAUAUGAAAUCAGUUACACAAACAGCACUAGUUCUUCGUCGUCUCACAUGCACCUUCGUUGUCUCACGUACACCUUGUGUAUAUGAUCUGUGAUUGCUCUUAAGCGGAUCUGAUGUAUUUAACGGCAUAAUAUAUAAUUAUGUGUUUCCGAAUAAUAAUUAUUAAACACUUUAUCUUAGUUGGUGUGGACAAGCAUAGGGAGCACUCGAAAGUUACGGGUUCGAAUCUUGAGUAAGUUAUUUCUUUUUAAAAUAUAAAAAUGACGUCGUUUAAGGGUAGCUAAUAGAUGUUAACGGACGUUAGAUAAUCUGUUAACGACUGAUAACAGAUAGUUUAUUUGGCCUGGUUAACGAAUGUUUAUGGUUUAAACGGUUGGUUAACGAUAUCUUCAUGUUUAAAAUGGCCACAUAUAAAAUUGUGGUAUAAAAUGGCCAUAAUUUGAAAGUUGGAGUAUUAAACGACAUUUUUCCUGUUGUAAUUUGUCAACACCGUGAAUUUUACUGGGUGGGGUUAUCUUUGUCUUGUGUUGUGUUUUCAUUGGUCACUAAAAUUUGACUUUUUCGUCCAAUAAUUUUUGAACUCAAUUAAAUUAUAAUAAACUUUUUUUUUUGUCAUCUGAUAAUUUAUUAAAGAAAAAAAUAAUAAAGUACAUAGUUAGAUCCAAAAGCCAAGUAGAACAGAAAGAGAAACAAAAUAAAAGAGAAACAACGAGAGAUACAAAAUGAAAUUUAAACUUUACUCUCCUCAAACACUUGAUUGUGAAACCAUGAAGGCUCUCCAAGUGCUAUGUAAGACUGAAACCUUCUUUCUUGAAUCACACUUCGAGAAAUGGAUCGCGCGAUCAGAUUUGCGUUUGUGGCAAUAUGACGGAAUGUACAAGAUUCAAAUGCACCAGCAAUCUCAUGGAUUUGUGCUAACCAAUUCCUGUAGAAAGGCCAUUUGGACGGCUGCAAAACGGCGUUAACUGCGGCUGGAUAUUCCAACUCUAUUAUCACCUUGGAGACGUGAAUAUCUUGAAAUGCUUUCAACGACCGUAGAAUGCAGCACAGCUCAGCCCCUGUUCGAUCUUGAAUUGGCGUAAACGCAUCUCGUGCAUGGUGUUUAGCUUGCCCUAUAUCUCUUACAAUUCAAGCUCCUCCACACAUCGAUUGUUUAUUUAUCCAAAAAGAAUUCAAAAUGCAUUUAAGAAUACCUUCUUGGGGUUUCCUCCAUUUGUUUCCAUCCAAAUUGGAGGUGAUUGCCGAGAGAAUACUGUUGAAGGCUACGUGUUCACCAUUUUCCAAUGCAUUGUGUCUUCAUACGCUUUUUGAACUAAAACAUGAAAAUUCCAUACCUUUACUUUGAAAACGGUAUGAUUACGAUUCUUCCAAAUUGCCCAUAGAACCCAUGGAAUUGAUAGUCGAGUUUGCUUUGGUAUGUGCUUGUCUUCGAUAACAUUCAAUAGAUGAGAGAAGUUUGCUAGUAAGGUUGUUGAAGAAAAACCUUGAUCCGAAGCUUGCACAAAAUGCUGAGAUUAAUAUGCUUAAAAGGAGAAUAUGGAAUCUAAAAUCUGAGCCACAAAUCAAGCUUUUCUGUUGGCGUGCUCUUUCUGGUGCUUUGGCUGUGGCAGAACGUUUAAGCUCACAGGGAAUACAACAUGACACAAAGUGCCAAAUUUGUGGUAUAGCUACAAAAACAAUAUGUCAUACUCUAUUCUCUUGUGACGUAUAGAAUAAGAAAAUGAUGAAUUUUGGUGUAAAUUAUUUAUGUAUCUAAUAGUAGUUAUUAAAAAAACCAUUGUAGUAUAUGAAAGUAAACUGAAUGUUGAAUGAUGAUGUGUAAGAGAGAGAAGAUGAUGUGUAGGUUGUUGUAAUUUUAAACCAAUGUAAAUAGUCUAAUAAAAAAAUAUUUGGGUUCACCCCACUCUUGUUCACCCUCUCUUAAUAAGCCAAUCAAAAUACAACAAAAUGCCAUGUCGUUUAAUAUUUAACAAUUAAAAUAUUUGGGUUCACCUCUAGGGUGGUUAAAGUUUAGAUUUUAUAAAUAAUUGAAAAUAUAUUUUGGUUGAGUUUAUAAAAUAGUGGUUAGAGUUUAAAUUUUAUAAAUAAACAAAAUUAUAUUUCGGUUUGGAUUGAUAAAAUAGUGGUUAGGUUUAGAUUUUGUAAUUAAACGAAAUUAUAUUUCGGUUUGGGUUGAUAAAAUAGUGAUUAGGUGUUAGAUUUUGUGAUUAAACUAAAUUAUAUUUUGGUUUUGGUUGAUAAAAUAGUGGUUAAAGUUUAGAUUUUGUGAUUAAACGAAAUUAUAUUUUAGUUUGGGCUGAUAAAAUAGUGGCUAGACUUUAGAUUUUGUAAUUUAAUUAAUUUAUUUUUUCAAUAUAUGAUAUGUCAAAUUCUAAUUGGUCAUUAAAAAAUGGUGAACCCAAGAAUUGUUCUUGUAAUAAUUAAACUUCUUAGAACAACAAAAAUUUACAAUAAAUUUAUAAAAGGAACAAUUAAAAAAAAAAAAAGGAGCAAAAAGCAUGAUAAAAGCUGAGAGAGGAAACUUAAAAAGCACACUUGUUUCCAAAACUAAAUAGGGUCAGUCCCAAAAUUGGAUUUGUAUAGUAACAAAUGAAUAACGGAAAAGAGAGUUUCAAGAUCUACGAACAACAGCAGUAGCGAAAUAAGGAUGAUGGGUGAACUCAAACGAUACCUUAAGCGAACGGUCUUGACAGAAAAGGUUCACAGCAACAAUAUUGCGUUCCGCGACUUUCUCUAAUCCCGUGACUUCAGCCAGCUUAUCAGGAUCGUUGGCGUAACCGACCUUUAUGUCCUUAGCGAUCUUUUGAGCAUCGUGAAAGUACUCAUACAUAGGAAGAUACUGCAGCAAAAGUAAAUAGAUACAACUUUACUUGCAUGUUCAAAACUCUUUCUAAUCGAACAUAGUAGAUUUAUACGUGUACACAUUCAUCACUAAAACAUUGUAAACAUUACCUAUGUUAUUAUUUGCUCAAUGAAGAUUGGGAUCUCAAUUUUCAUGUGUUUAUAUUUAUUAAUCAAGUUAUUGCUUUUAAGCAAAUAGUUAACUAAUAAAUCCUACAUAGAUAUAUUUUAAAUAAACUGUGAAUCCUAAAUUUUUCCGUAUUUUCCGAAUUACCUGAACCGAACUCAAGAUUUUGCGAUUUAUGGUAUUAAAGCAGAUAGUGAUUGUAGGUACCCGGACUACCUUUACAGUACUCGAUUCCCUAUCACCCAACCAAUUUUUUUAAGUGUAUGCUUCGGGUAGUAGAUUUAGAUAUACCUGAAAUAACCAUAUCCAACCCUUACCAGCUAUUACCUGACUCUAUACCCUAAAUGCACAUGCCUACUUCUACAAUUCAUUUGACCAAGUAAACAGGAUUAAGCACAAAAACAAAGUUGAAUAAAGCACACUUACGUCGAGACGAGCAUGGGAUGUGGAUUUUGAGAACGAUUCAUAUGCGUCAUAUUCUGGAAGGGAUGCCUUCUGAAGGAGUUCAAAAUGCUGUAUAAAUUUCUGCAUGUCAAGGAAAAUGGGUAGUUGAAGUCAUACACAGGAAGGGAUAAAACCACUCACCCAUUACUAAGGCUGAGGAUUUUUAUCUUACACAUUAAUUCAAUAACUAUGCAACAGAUAAAGAGACUUAUGCUUACCUCAUUUUCGGUAUUAAAAGGUCCUUGACUCUUUAAAGACAUUCCUUCAUUUCUCAAAGCUGCAAUCAUCUACGGGUAAAUACACAAGGUUUGGUCAGGUUUAGAGUACUUGAUAUCAGCAAUAGAAGGAGCUGGAAACCAAGAGAUUGAAGACAAAAUUACCACUGUGAGGCCUUGUGCAAGACAGGUCUGACAUUUGAGAAACAAUACCCAUAGACUAAUCCGAUCUUCCCGAGCCAUGUCCCUAGAAUACUCCUUAUUCCUCUUUGCUUUUCUUUCCUCUGAUCCAGAUGAAGGUAAAUGCAUUAUAAAAAGCUACAAAUACACACUAUGCAGUUAUGCCAAACCAAUUACUGUACAGAUGGUUCAUCUCCGAAACACUAGGACACAAAAUAAAAACAAAUGGAUAUAUGAAUGCUUACCAGUGUUCACAACGAUUAAGACCCUGAAACGUGCUCUUUCGGCAAGCUUCCAGAGUAUAAUAUACAUGUACCAGUAUACCAUGCAAUAUUCACUUGGCGAGUAGAGGUCUAGGUCAAAUCCCAGCAUGAGAAAGCGAAUUGCCACCCAAUUAAUUUGCUCUUCUAAUCCACCAUAUAUAUGGUUUAAAAUGAGUAGAGACUUAUCCUGAAAGGUACAUAAAUGCAAGUUAACACAAAAUUCAAUAUCUGCUUAUCAAUAGAGCCAAAAUUUUCCGAAAGAGAAAACAGAAGUUGUAGGAAUUUUGACUACUGGUUUGUUCAUGCUAACAAUGAAUAGACAGCCGUCAACUAGAUUCAGAUAGAGGUUUGAUUAAAUGGACCCAUAGUGAUGGUAGUAAACCUACCCCAUUUUUCGAACUGCGUGAUGUAUCUUGCUGCAUCAUUUGACCAACAGCAAUCCCCAUCUGCCAAAUACAGGAAAAUGUAUGAAUGAGAUCUUGACACAAAAACCCAAAUCAAUAUGCAAACAAUUUUAGGGUAAGCGAGCUUACAUAUAGUUAAGUAAAGAAUAAUACAGUUCCAACAAAGGCACAAAUGGUAUAACCUGCACAUGGAAUACGCUCCAGUCAUUUAAGAUUUUCCCAAGCUUACGCCUCUGCCAUGGGGUAUUAGCGCAUAGUAUUUUAAGUAGAUUAACCAUCAACUGCACCACAAAAUGAGAAUAGAGAUCAAACAGAGAUUUCUAAGAAAGGAGCCAGUUGAAUAAUUAUCUAACUUUUUCAGGAUCCAGAGGCUACCAAAACCACAAAACAUAGACAAGGCAUUCUCAUCAAAGUCCCCAUUAAAACAAAUAAUUUUUUGUUGUUUCAAUCUUCUUGAUGAUUGCAAAUUAGUUACAUCCACACAUGCUGAAAUUCUCUGAGAUUGGGGCUUAUACGCCAGACACCGAAUAUUGAACAAAACCAAUGAAAGAUUAUUCUUUUCAAGGUUUUACCAAGUUCCAAACUCUUUUCAAGGAAGAAUAAAGAGCUACCUCAUACACGUUUGUAGAAAAAAAUGUACCCAACGUAUUCUUUUAAUAUACUGUGUUUACCUGAUUAAGUUGAAGAAUGUACUCAUUCGUAUGGAGGCCAUGGUUCUUGGAGACAUCUAAUGCAAGAGAUCUGGCGCAAAUUGUCAAAAAGGUAUCACGGCCGUAAAGUUUCCCAUCUUGCACAAGGAGAAGCUGUAGAACAAGAUUAUUUAUUGAGUAUAAAAGGUAAAAGCAUUUUGCUAGCUUAAUACAUAAUUUAUUCACAAAUAUUGCUAAUAUCAUAACAAAAAUGGACAACCAUAUCAAUGCUUAACAGAAAUUUACAAUCAGAAUCAACCUCAACUACAAAUAUUGGAUCUAUAUUCUUAUAAGUCUUCAUAAGAAAGAAAAAUGAGAGUGUCAGCCACUACAUAUUCCAGUGUCAUCAUAAAUAAUAUCUAGAUAACAAUAAUAGUAAAGAGUCAACAAGAAGAAUAAGCAGAGCAUUCAACAGGCCUGUUGGCGAAAUGGGGCUUGAGGUGGUUCACGAGAGUUGGAUAUUCUCUAGUCCAUUGGUUCUAAGUUUAUGCAACUGUUCUUACAGAAAUAAAGGAGAUUUCUACUAUAGUCAUAUGGCUGAAUCACUCAACUCUAAGUGACAAUGAAUUGAAAAUGAGUGCUAAUGAACACAAAACUGCAAAGCAAGGAAGCGGGUAAAAGAAGAAGCCAUAUUAUCCACUAUACAAACACACCCUAGUGGAUGUAUGCGAACAUCAGUGCAACUACAGCCAAAAUAGUUACUCAAAACAAGAAAACAAAAUGAUAAAUGGGUAUCUGAAAGCACAGAGCUGCAUGAUAUUGAUGCGUUAAGUUAAAGUAACGCACCUGAAGAUGAGCCCUAGCAACCAAAUCAGGACGAGAUUUUUGAAACUGAAUCACAAACUCCAAGACGGCCUCUAAAUCUGGUUCCAAUGAAAAUGCACAGAUCUUAUCCAGAUUGUGAAGAAGUUUCACAUAAUAGUCAAUAGCCUGGAGAAUCAAAAAUUGAAAAAAGUUACUAAAAAGUUAUAUACACACAAACUAAAUUACGUAUACAGAGAAUUUAGAAGUCCCAACCUUUUUCCAAGAAAGAAGUUUAAUGGCACGUGGCGGCGUUGGAGCUGAUAAUCUUUUGUUUAAAGUAGGAUCAAAUCCAAUGGGGGACCGACCAGAAGCAGUUGUACUUUCUUCUAUCUCGUUUACGCCAUUCUCGAAAAUAUCUAAUCUUAGAAAUUCUGCUGAAUCCAGAACAGAAUCUAGCUCUGAUAUGCAAUAGCCUAUAUGUUUCCUUGCCAAUUCGAGGCCACGUCCUUGUGGUCGUCUCAUACAAUUAAGAGCAUGUAGAAAAUGCUGAAAGUUAUUGAGGAUAUGUUAAAACAACUAGCAGUGCAAAAGUAUAUAACAGCUACUAUUUUUUUUUUUAAAAUGGCUUACGAAACAAAAUAAUAAUAACAUCAUGAAUCACAUGUCUGGCGAGAAUUUUUAACCAAAAAUAAGGGUAAACAGGUAAUAAAAGCUGCCAUAUACUCAAAAUUUAGUCUCUGCUAAGCUUGUUCAUUCUUGUAAGUUGCAUAACAUGGAAAAUUUAACACAAUAAAACAUAUAUUAACUUUGUCUACCACUCCCCAUUGUGAGGUUAGGUUGAAGAAAAGCAACUCAUCAUACUCUUGUUACGUGUAGUUUAUCAAAGAAAGAAUAAAUAAAGCAUGAGACCUUACGGAACACUGGAUAAAAGACCAAAUGCAAAUUUUAAGUACUAAUUGUAGUUUUUCUUUUUCAAAGCAAGCAAUAAAAAAUUCUAUUCAUCGAUGGCCACCAGAAUACUAAUAAAAGGAACAGACUUGGGACUAUAUUAUACACUAGUUAACAUGACUUAAGUUGGGAAAACCUGUAAUUAACAACAUUUAUCAAAGAAAGAAUAAAUAAAGCAUGAGACCUUACGGAAACGUAUCCGGCAUAACAGAGAUUUGCAAAAACUCUCUUCCAGAUGGGGAUUACUUUGUAGAGGUUCCAAUUCUGCAUCUUUAACAAACAAAAGGAAAGAAAGUUAUUGUUCUCAGUUCGUGCUGCUGUGCACCAUUGUUACAAAUAAACAAUAGACCAUAUCACUCAAAGAGAUGGUAAAUUUUUAAAAAGAAAAAAUCAAUUGUAAUAAUCAGCGGACUUCACAUAUAAAUCAUUACUCAAUAGAAGACUCAAAGUUAUCGUAUAUAGGCCAGAGAGGCUAAUUUCAAGUUGGUAUAUGCUUAGAGAGCACUUGCAAAAUAUCUAAUUCCAAUGCAUUAUACUGUCUCCAAAUCACAAAUCACCAUUAAAUGUGUAAACAACAUAUCAUAAGAAAAGAAGCAACAGAAGACUCUUCGAUCCCCUCAUAUGAAUACGCUCUUCAUAUUUCAAUUCUGCAAGUGUGUGUAUGUAAAAUAAAAAAGGAAGAUAUGCAAAGCAAAAAAAGUACCUUCCAACAUUCUCCUUCUUGUGGCCUUACAAGCACGCAGCUGACGACAGAUAGUUUCUUCAACCGCAUUCAAGAGUAACAAGCCCUUGGCAUCUUCUUCUCCACUAAAAGGAAGACCAUAUGUCAUCGUAAAAAGAUCCUCUUCCUGUUAAUGAGCAGGUAUCAGGUGAAUCAUUCAGAGUAAACUAUCCAUGAAGCAGGGGCAUCUGUCUAGUUAAGAGAAACUUCUAUCCAAAAUAUCACAACAAAUCUUCUCAAGUAUUUUAUCUUCAUUUAGCUGCAUAAUGGUGGAAAUUUCUACAGAAAUAAGUUAUACGCUCUGCUAAUCAUCUCAAGAUUAAAUAACAACUGCUUAGGCUAGAUGAGAACGGAUGCCAAGACUUCAUUAGAAGAGUAAAGUCAAGUGAAUCCAGUUUUCGUCUCUGAUGUCAUAAGCUUAAGGUUAAUGACAACUAUGAAAUGUCAAAAUGGGUUAGCAACUGUUUUUCUUUACGCCAUAAAAGAAUGUUGGACAUAGCAAAAGAUUUUAGGAGCAAACAUUGAACACAAACUAAACCUUUAAUGAAAAGCCAAAAAACAUACAGAAACAUUUGCUUAGCCCCACAAGAAUAAAAGAGGACCAAAAAUUGUAAAAGUUAAUUACUUCAUUUGUACGCGCAUCUGAAACAACAGAAACAACUGCCCUGCAAGUUGCUCGGAUGACCCUACAAUAAGAAUGUAAUAGAGCCUGUGAAGAUGUCCUCUCAGGCCUCAGAACAUAGAUGCAUGAAAACACAGUUUGGGCCAAUGAAUGACCCAUGUGCCAUGUUGCCUGCAAAAGAGUAGAGACACAAAAUGUGGAUAAAUCAACUCCAAGGCUGACAUGUUAGCUACAUACAUAUCUCUUUAUCACAAUUAUACCUUGCAAACUCACACAGUAUUAUAUGAGCACAUGUAAAGAAGAGAUUACCUCACACGCCAGGAGAUGGUCCAUAAUGUCAAUGAUGGAUUGCACAUUAACAGUACUAUCCGAACUUAUAGGGACGGGCGCAAAACCACUUUCGAUGGCUUCAUCUAUAGAAUAAAACGUAGACACCAUACCAGAAUCCAUCUUUGGGUCCAUUAUCUAGUACAAAGCAAGGACACCACACCAUGUUUGUUAUACACACUUAUAGCAACCUCACAAUCUAAGUUUACAGCUAAGAACAGUCCAAACAUAUUUUGUUACAAAAUAGAAACCUCUAAAGCAGACAUGGCAGCAAAAAGAUUGAAAUUAUCUCCAUUUAUGAGUUCACCUUCUUGAAGAUCUGCAAACAGAACGACUCAUGAAACUAAAACAAGUGGGGAAUACAAGCAAAAUAGGCAAUUGCGAUCAGUACCAGAGCAGGCGGCGGAGAGGAGAGGUGAUACAUCGGCCCAGACGGAGUUAUUAUCACCGGAAGGGAUAGAAGAAGAGGUUUUAGAGUCGUGAUGAAUCGGAGAAGACGAAUCUUCAUCUUCCCUAACUGAUUGCAUCGUUUGUUGUUGUUGUUGCUCAGGAAACUUGAAAAUCGCUUUAAUCUCUCGUAAUUGGUUUUUUUUGCUACUUAUGGUAUAAGUUUCGUCUUGCUCGAUGGAACACUUUGCCUGGGCUGUUUAGGGUAAUUUUCGGGUCGGAUCCUCAGCGGAUACCCAACCCCCAAUCACCCGAGCCUCCUGCCGUCUUUUUUUUAUAAAUCAACCUUUAAAACCAACAAAAAGAUUUUCAAAAUUUUAAAUCUAUAGUUUUAUGGGUGAAUUUGCGGUAUAAUCAAAAUCUAAUGUAAAAUAAAAAAUAUAAAAUCUUAUUGAAAAAUAUUAAGAAAGUAAUUAGAUUAGUGAAAAGAUAAAAUUGUAUAGUGAAAGACACGCACAAUAAAAAAAAAGAAGAGGUUUUGAAUGUUUUGUAGAUUUUGUAAGAGUUUUUGGUUUUUGUUUUUUAAAAACUUAUUUUUAUACCAAUUAAGAUUUUAAAAUUUUGGUUUCCCUACAAUUUAGUAAAUUUAUUUUAUUGUAGUUUUCCAUUCAUGAUUUUAGUUUUUUAGUUUUCCUAAAAUUUAGGAAAUCUAGUUUUUAUUCAAUCAACGUUAUUUUUCUCAAAAACCAAAAACCGAUUUUUUGGGGUUUUUAAAACAAAAAUAUAAUAACAAAAAUCUAAAACUAAAAUCUAAAAUCUAUAAACUAAAAUCUAAACUCAAAAACUGAAUCAAAAAUCAGCAUCCAUUCAGAGCUAGAGUAUAUGAUGAUAUAUGUAAAAAAGUAGAGAGAAUAAUAAAGAGGAAUUGCAAAACUAACACAUUUUUACUAAAAUAUUAAGAAUAUAACAUUAUAUAUGUAUCAGUUAACUAACUAACCUAAAUGGUAGAUUAAAUGAUCAUAGGUGGUGGUUUGGAUCCGGCGACGGCGGUGGCUCCGGCGGCGGCGGUGGCUCCGGCGACGGCAGUGGCUCCGGCGACGGCGGUGGCUCCGGCGACGGCGGUGGCUCCAGGGACAGCGAUGGCUCCGGUGACAGUUCUGGUGGUGGCUCCGGCGAUAGCGGUGGCUUCGGCGAUAAUUCCGACAAUAACAGUGUCUCCAGCGAUAGUUCCGGCGGUGGUUCCAGGGACGGUGGAGGCUCCGGUGACAAUGGGAACACCGACGAUGGGGUGGUUGCUCUGGUGAUGUCAUUCGUUCUCGUAACGGGGGUAGCUCCGACGGCGACGGUGGUGUUGAUGACGGUGGCUGUGGCGGCGGUAGUGGGUGUAGUGAUGAUUGUUGUGGUGGUGGUUAAUGGUGAUUAUUGUGAUGGCGAAAUUAUAAUAUAAUAUAUUAUACAGUUAUUAUAGUGUAAAUUUUUUCUAAUAGGCUAGUUUCUUAAUUUGUAAUUUUUUUUAAGUUAUACAUGCAAAUUCCCAAAAUACUAAUGACAUGGCUAAAUUAAUAUCACCCCAAAUAAUUUUGCUUGUUGAUUUAGUCUUAUAAAUUUUGCAAUAAUUUUAUAAGAACAUAGAUUUUUUUGAGUAUAACAUGAUUUAAAUUUUUAAAAUCUAAUACAAAUUAUUUAAAUUAGGGAACAAUGUUUGUCUAAACCACACAAAUAAAAUAGUAUAGAACAAAACGUAGAUAAUUCAAAAGGCCGAGUUAAACCGCUCUAAUAAAAAAAAUACUAUCCCUAUGAGAUACAAUAUUGGCAAUCCAAGUAACUAAGGUAAACUAUAGCGGUGAGCCGGUGACGUUGACGAUGGUAAUAGUGGUGGUGGCAACGAUGAUGGUAGUGGUGGCAGUGGCACUAAAAAUGACAUUGAUGGUGGUAAUAUUAAUUGUUAGUGGUGACAUGAUGAUGGUAGCGGCAAUGACGGUAGUGGCGGUGGGAUGGUAGUGUAGUAAUAAUUGUUACUUGUUAGUAAUGGUAAUUAUAAACUAGUUUUUUAUUUUAUUUUAUUUUAAUAUAAAAAUAUAUAUAGAAGAUGAGAUUACUAGCUAGAGAGAAAGGGAGAAAGAAAAAUCCACAUGUAUUGAUAAAUAAAUAACCAGAGCAAAAUACUAAUAAUUUACAAACUCCCAAAUAUUGUGUUAUAAAUAGGUUUAGUGUUUUCAAUGGGUUGCAAAUAAAAGAGUCAAAUAGGUAGAAGAGACCUUUGGGGAAACUAUAAAAUUUAGCAUUCGUGGUAGAUGAAGAAGGGAGAAUCUAAUGAAAGAAUCAGCAUGAAAUGCAACAGAGGAGGGGAAAAAAGAAGGUGUAUGUAGUGUAGAGGGCAAAGUUAUCAUUAAUACAAAAAAUACAUAAUAUAUCAACCUUUUUUUUGUUUGAUGUUAGUUUUUUAAUUUAUAAUUUUUUGUUGGUUAUUUAUGCAAAUUUCCCUAGUUUUAUUUAAUCACCAUCUUAUUAUAUAAAGUACCAUUUUGAAAGUUACUAACUCACAUAAUGGUGUCACGUGUCAAGUCUAAUAAUCAGAUAUUUACAUAUGUCAUUAAAGAUUUACCUUUUUAUUCUCUUAUAAAAAUAAAAAAACCUAAAAAAGUAAACAAAUUUACAUAUACUAAUUUUUAUAUCUAUAUAUAUGUAUAUAAUAUUUUGAUUAACCAAUAGGAAAAUUAACAAAAAAAAAUUUUGGUAGGGUGAGGGGGACCAACCCUUCAUUUAUUAUAGAAAAAAAAAUAGAAAAUUACAUACGAACAUUAACAAAUUUGCUUUUACAUGUGAUAUUGGUCAAUUAAAUAAAUCUAGCAUGCAUUAACUAAUUAAAAAGACCAUCGAAAUAUUGAUUUUUCCCGCCUAAAAUAUUACAAAAAUAAAUUUCCCGCAAAAAACAUUUCAAAAAAAAAGUCCGCCCAAAGUUUUUUUCCAAAAAUAUUUUUCCUACAAAAACCUUUUUGGCGGGAAAAAGAUUUACAAUGGGUUUUAAAAGAUUUUUAAAGGCUUUACAAGAGUUUUAAAUGAUUUACAAGUGUUUUUGAAAGAUUUUUAUAUGGUUAACAAGGGUUUUAAAGGAUUUUAAAAAAGAUUUAAAACCCUUUAAAAACUUUUGUAAAUCUUUUUAAAAUAUUUUGUAAGGGUUCAAAAGAUUUUUAAAAUGGUUCAAAAUUAUGAAAGGGUUUACAAGGGUUUUUGAAAAGAUUUUUAAAUGGUUUACAAGGGUUUUAAAGGAUUUACAAGGUGUUUUAAAAGAUUUUUAAAAGAUUUACAAGGGUUUUAAAAUCCGUUAAAAACACUUGUAAAUCUUUUUAAACCCUUUUAUAAGGGUUCAUAAGAGUUUUAAAAUGGUUCAGAAAGAGUUACAAAUGUUUUAAAAUAAUUACAAAUUAUUUUAAAUCUUUAACAAAAUGAUUUAAAGACUUUAUAAGAGGUUUAAAAAGAUUUUAAAAAGAUUUACAAAGGUUUUAAAAAUCCUUGUAAAUUGUUUGAAAACCAUUGUAAAAGGUUUUAAAAUGAUUUAAAAAAGGGUUUAAAAGGGGUUUAAAAGUAUUAACAUAUGUAUUUAAAGACUUUAUAAAGAUUUUAAUAGGUUUAAAAAUGAUUCACAAGAGUUUUUUUAACAACUUUACAGAGCUUUUUAAAAACUUUACAAGGUUUUCUUAAGAGUUUUUAAAGGGUUCUUAAAAAUUUUACAAGGAUUUUUAAAUUCUUUUUUUUGUAGGGAAACAAUUUUGAGGAGAAUAUUUUUUUUGGCAAGGAAAAAGUUUACAAGGAUUUUUGACGAGAAUAUCUUUUUGGCGGGGAAAAUAAAUUUUGGUGCAAAACAUUUUUGGCGGAAAAAUUUCAGUUUCUAAUUAUAUGUUCUUACUAGAUUUUAACCCGCGGUGUACCGCGGGACUAUUUAUUUUAUUAAAAAUAACUAAAAAUAUAUUAUUUUAUAAAUUAUCUGUAUGUAACAUAUUGUUUGUAUUUUAUAAAUAUAUAAUCCUAAUUUCUAUAUAUUGUACAAUCCCUUGAUUUUAUCAUGGAGUACACCGUAAGUCGAUUUUUAAAAUUUAAAAUUUAAAAUUAUAUAUGAUUUUUGUUAAGAUUGUUUCUUUUGUCAUAUAUUUUAAAUUAUAUCAUUGUAUUUUAAUUGUUAGUUAUAGGAUUUCACCCGUUGUAUAACGUGUCGUAUUACUAUAAACUCAAACCCGUCUUACCAUCUAAUUCCGUUCAAUGAAAUUAAACAUAUUUAAUGGAUUUCAUCCUAGGUAUAUUGUCUCAUAUUACUAUCGACCCAAACCCGUCCUACCAACUAACCCCGUUCAAUAAAAUGAAAUAUUAUUUUAUUAUUUUUGUUUUAAUAAUACUUUAAUUUGAAAUAUAUAUAAUUCAAAUCAAUUUCAAACUUUUUAUUUUAAAUGGUUAUUUAAUUGUUAUAAUUUAUAAAGUUCAUAUAUUUUAAUAUUCUAAACUCGUCAUACCAUCUAAUCCCGUUCGGUGAAAUUAAACAUUAUUUUUUAAUUUUUUUGCUUAAAUAAUAUUUUUAUUAACAGAUUUAUAAUUCAAAUAAAUUUAAAAGGUGUCGUUCAAAUAGUUAUUUGAUUUUUUAUAGAUUUCACAUCUAAAAUAUUUCUCUAUAUGUAACAUAUAGUUUUGUAUUUUAGAAAUAUUAUAAACGUUUUUUCCUUAAAUAUUAUAAACGUUUUAAAAACUUUAAAUAAUUACAAUAUUUACCUUUUAAUAAAGUAUAAUAUUAAUAAUCAUUUAAAUAAUUAUGUGUAGCUAAUUUUAAGGGAUUUGAUUUAAAGCUUGUUGUUUGGAUUAAAUUUGAAUGAAUAAUGUGAUUGAUAUAUUAAAUCAAGAAUUAAAAAUCAAAUCAAAUAAUUAAGGAAAAAAGAAUUAAUGCCAAUGGCAUGCCAUUGUAAAUAAGUGUCAAGUAGAGGAUUUAUUUGCUAAAAUAUAAUUUUAGUUUUUUAAAAAUUAACUGAAAAUAUAUUAUAUUAAUUUGUAUUUUUAAAUAUAGAUAUCAAUCUCUGUAUUAUUUAGUAUAUGAUUACUAUUAUUUAGGUUUCAAUUUUUGAAGUAUAGAUACGAAAAUACAUAUUUUUUUAAGUAACGAUGUAUGGUGAAUUUUAAAUUUUUAAUAUUUUAUCCAUAAUAUACCGUGGGUCGAUUUUUUAUAGCUAAAUUUUUAAAUUUCAAGUUAUAAUCGUUUUGUUAAUAUUGUAUGAUUUUUUGUGUUUAAGGUUGUAUAAUUGUAUUUUAAUUGUAAAUUUUAAGAUUUCAUCAAUGAUAUACCUUUCUUUAUUAAUAUCGAUCAAAACCCGUCAUCCAAUAUAAACCCGUCUAUAUUAUCUCGUUAGCUAAAUAUUAGUAUUAUAAAAUCCAAGAAAAUAAAUUAUUAUUGUUAGAAAUACAAUAAUUUUAGGAUCUCACCCGUGUUAUACUGUUUUUGAAUGAUUUUAAAUUUCUACUACUAAUAUAGAUUUUAAAUUUGUCAUAUAAAGUAUAUGAUUUUAACUUUUUGUAUUUUUUUAUUUAAAUAAAGCAACGGCUUAAAUGAUGAUAGAUAUAGUUCUUUUUUUGUAUGUGUAUAUGAUUUUUAUGUGAAUAUUUUCAUUAUUAUAAAUUAGUAUUUUUAUUGUUAUGCAAAAUGUUAAUAUAAAUAUUUUCUAUAAAUCGGAUUUAUGCAUAUUUUAUGGAGUAAAAUUCACAGAAUUUUGUUUUUGAAGAUAUAUGGAAAGAUUGUGUAGAGAUUUUUAGAAAUAAAUUAGGCAAGAUAUCGUUUGGUUAAUAUCUUUUAAAAUUUUGUAAAACUAAAUAAUAAAUGCUAGUGACAGCCGUUGUAAAUAAGUCUGAACUCCAGGAUUUAUUUCACAAAAUGGUUGCAAAAAUGUAUAUGUAGAUUAGAUGAGGAUAAUUUGUUCAUUUUGUUCAAAAAAAAAAGGGAGAUUUGCAAAACUACCAUUUUUUACUACCCUUUUGCAACAAUACCCUUUUAUAUUGUUCAUUUUUAAAAAUAUCCCUUCUCUUGAACAGAAUGACCAAAUUACCCUCAUCUAAUAAGAACAUGUAAUUGGAAACUGAAAAUUUCCCGCCAAUAUUUAUUUUUCCCGCCAAAAAAAAAUUUCCGCCAAACUUUAUUUCCCGCCAAAAUUUUUUCUCGUAAAAUUUUUUUCCCAGCCAAAAUAAUGCUUUUAAAAAUCCUUAUAAAUUUUCUUAAAACUCUUUUAAAAAACCUUGUAAAGUUUUUUAAAAGCUUUGGUAGUUGCUAAAAACCCUUGUAAAUCAUUUUAAAACCUCUUAAAAUCUUUAUAAAGUCUUUAAAAACAUAGGUAAAUACUUUAAAACACCUUUUUAAACCUUUGUAAAUCAUUUCAAAAUUUCCACAAUAGUUUUACAAGAUUUACAAUCAUUUUUUAGCAUAAGUAAGUGGCAUUGAAUGAUUUACAAGGGAUUUUAAAAGCUUAUAAAAGGGUAAAACAUGAUUUACAAUCGUUUUUAAAGCAUAAGUAAGUGGCAUAUAAUGAUUUACAAGGAUUUUUAAAAAGGGUUAGCAUGGUUUACAAUAUUUUUUUAAGCAUAAGUAAGUGGCAUUGGAAUUAUUUACAAGGGAUUUUAAAAGCUUAUAAAAGGGUAAAACAUGAUUUACAAUCGUUUUUAAAGCAUAACUAAGUGGCAUAGAAUGAUUUACAAGGAAUUUUAAAAGUGUUUGUAUGGUUUACAAUCGUUUUAAAGCAUAAGUAAAUGGCAUUGAUUGAUUUACAAGAGAUUUUAAAAGGGGUUAACAUGAUUUACAAUCGUUUUAAAGCAUAAAUAAGUGUCAAAGAAUGAUUUACAAGGGAUUUUAAAAAAGGUUUGCAUGGUUUACAAUCGUUUUUAAAGGAUAAGUAAGUGUUAUAGAAUGAUUUACAAGGAUUUUAAAAGCUUAUAAAAGGGUAAAACAUAAUUUACAAGAGUUUUUUUAAAGAGUUUUAAAAGGAUUUACAAGGAUUUUAAACCUUUGUAAAUCCUUUUAAAACUCUUAUAAAGUCUUUACAAGUAUUUUUUAACUCUUAGAAAAAGAAUUGUAAGUAUUUAAAACAUUUACAACUCUUUUAAACCAUUUUAAAACUCUUGUGAAUCUUUACAAAAGGUUUUAAAAAGACUAGAUGAAUUCCUACGCUAUGCGAGGGUUUGUUUUGAAAAUUGUUUAGAUAAAAAUAUGUUAAUUAUUUUUGUUGCUAAUUUCUGUUUAUUUUUUGUUUGUUAUUUUAUAAUUAGUAAAAUUAGACUCAUCUUAUGUACUUGCAUUUUUUAUUGUUAGGUUCAUUUUUGACUCUAAAAUAUCAAUUUCUAUAUGUUUUCAUGUAUAAUCUGAUUAUUUUUAUAACCAAGAUUCUAAAAUUUGUUUAUUAUCAUGAAUAUACACAACAAGAAUAAAAGAUGUUUUUAUUUCAAGAGUUUUCAUAUGAAAAAAAAGAAGCAAAAAUUAAAGAGUUAUUUUAGUAACACUUUUUAGAUUUAUGCUAUUGCAUAUAGCCAUAUAAGACAAAUGGAUUUGUUUUGAAUUUCGUGGUAUGUCUAACGUCUCAAAAAUCUAUUACUUGAAAAUGUUUAAUGUCAAUGUUACGAACUUACCAUAAGAUACAAAAAUAAAAAGACAGAAUUUCAUAUGAUAAGAUAUGAACCAUAACGUAAUAAUAAUAAAAAAAUCAAGGUAAAAUAAUUAAACUAAUAUUAGGUAGCAAACAACUAAAGUACAACACAAAUAACUAUUUAGUCAUUAUAGAGUGAUGACCAUUGACCAUUAAGUUUUUUUAAAAAUAUGAAAUAAUAAAGUAAAAUAAAAGUAGUAAUUGAUUUAUUUAAAUAAAUAAUUUUAUAAAUUUUUUAUUUUGAAUAAAAUUAUUUAAGAAAUGAACUAAUGGAGGAUUUAACACAAUAUGAGACUUUUGAUUUUCUCUCAAUUAAUUUUGCUGAUUUUUAAUUUAAUCAAUGUUAAUUGACACAUGUCAUUUUCUUGUGUGAUGAUGUGUCACCCAUAUGGAGAAAGUUGGCCAACUUUCAUAUAUAUGAUUUACAAGAGUUUUUAAACGGUUUCUUAUAAUUUCUUUUAAAAUCUUUUAAAAACUCUUGUACAUCUUUUAAAACCCUUUAAAAAUCCCUUGUAAAUCUUUUAAAACACUUUUAAAUCCUUUAAAAAUCUUUAAAAAACUCUUGUAAGUCUUUUAAAGCCCUUUAAAAUCCCUUGUAAAUCUUUUAAAACCCUUUUAAAAUCCCUUGUAAAUCUUUUAAACCCUUUUAAAAUCUUUUGUAAAUCUUUUAAAACCCUUUUAAAAUCCCUUGUAAAUAUAUUUCCCGCCAAAAAACAAUUGUUUACGGGAAAAAUGUUUUCGAAAUUUUUUUUUGGCGGGAAAAUUUUGGCGGGAAAUUUUAUUUUGGAAUAUUUUAGGCAAAAAAUAUUAAUAUUUCAUUUUGUUAACCUAAAUCAAUUUACAAAUAGGAAUAAAAGGGUCAUUAAAAAUUUAAAUAGGGUAUAAAUGAAAAUGGUAAAUAGAAAAGGGUAGAAUUGAAAAGGGGUAGUGUGAAAAGGGCAUUAGAAAGAAUUUUUCAUUUUUAAUUAUACUUUCUUCUAAUUUUUAGUGAUCAUUUUAACCCUAUUUGAAAAUGUUUUAGGUUAACAAAAUGAAAUAUUGAUUUUUUCCACCAAAACGGCUUUUUGCCUAAAGAAACUUUCACGCCAAAAAAUUUCCCGCCAAAUUGGUUUUUUCAAAAACAAUUUUCCCCAUAUAACAAAAAAAAUGGCGGAAAAUAUAUUUUUAAAACCUUUGUAAUUCUUUUUAAAACUCUUGUAAAACUUUUUGAAACCUUUUGUAAGGGUUCACAAGAGUUUUAAAAUAUUUCAAAUUUUUUUACAAAUGUUUUAAAAUAUUAAAACAAAACUUUUUAAGAGUUGAAAAAUGAUUUAAUAAUAAGAAUUUUAAAAGGCCUUACAAAAGUUUCUAAAAUCCUUGUAAAUCGGUUUAAAACUAUUUGAAAACUUUUGUAAAUAAUUUUAAAACCUUUUACAAUGGUUUUAAAAGAAUUAUAAGUAUCUUUAAAUAUUUAUUAAGGUUUUGAAGUAUUUACAUGUGUAUUUAAAGACUUUAUAAAGAUUUUAAAAGAUUUCAAAAUGAUUUACAAGUGUUUUUAAGAACCGUACAAAGCUUUUAAAAAACUUUACAAGGAAUUUUAAGAGUUUUUAAAGGAUGUACAAGAGUUUUCAAAAAAUAUUUUGCGGGAAAAAAACAAUUUGGUGGGAAAACUAAAUUUUGGAGCCAAAACUUUAUUUGGCGAGUAAACUAAAUUUUGGCGGACAAAUUUCAGUUUCUUAUUAAAUAUUCUAAUUAAAUGGAGGGUAAUUUGGUUAUUUUGUUCAUGAAAAAGGAUAUUUUAAAAAAUAGACAAUGGUAAAGGGUAUUUUUGCAAAAGAGCAUUGGAAAAGAGUAUUUUUACAAAUCUUCCAAAUACAUUUGGGUAUAUUUGGUACCUACCUAUUUAUUAAAUUUUAUUCAUUAAAGCUUUGAUGGAUUUUGAAACCUCUUACAUUGGAUAGUUCCAUAUUUAACAAUAUAGACUAGGUCAGUACUCGUGUUUCGCAAGGGGUUCAUGAUUUAAUUAGUUUAUAAAUUUUGUUUCUGUAUAUAUUACUAAUAUAGUUUUAUUUUUAUUCAAAAUAGAUUUUUAGAUUAUCAAUUCCCAAAACACUAUCCUGUCGUUGUAGUAUUUUAGGUUGUCAAUCCAAUCUGCUGGUGUGAUGCAAACAGAUAAGAUAUUAUUAGAAUGCACUAAGUCAAACCAAGCAGAGAGUUUUUGGUUUCUAACAGUCCUCAUAUGAAAUAAAAGAACUGAAAUAAAACUGAAAUGCAAAAUGGCAGUAACAUGCAAAUGAAUGACAAAGCAGAUAAGAUAACAGGCAAUCAAAUGGAUAAGAGAUUCCUAAGGAUGGAGUAAUCGAAUAGCGUGGUCUCCUUAAUCUAUUUAGACGGUUGACAAAACUUCACAGAAGAUAUCUCUAGAAAACAAGUUCAAUGAAAGAUUAAUUCACUACCGUGUAAGAAAUCCUAAAGUGACGUUAUCUCCAUUAGCGAUCUCUAACUAAGCAGACAAUAUCGAAUCAACUUGUUAAAGCCAAUACCCGUUCUAAACGGCCAAUACCUUGGGAUAGAGACGAAUAUCACUGGAAUUAAUAGAUCCGACAUUCCAUCGAACGCCUUCUGAGCGCGGGAAUGUCUGGAUUCAUAUUCCAGUUGAUCAUAAAGGAACAAGCAAUAAGCGCAACUAAUCUAGAAGGGAUUCCAAUAUUCUAAACUCAACCAUCUAGACGACUAAGGUUACCACAACUACUCUAUCCCAUCCUCAGAAAUACAAUUCACUACUCAGACAUAAGCAAAGACAAUAUCAUAGAAACGAAUGAAAACAUGAUAAGGGAUCGAGAAAUGACAAAAGAUAAACGAAAUGAUACUAAGACUGAAAUAUUUAAUACUUGAAAGUGAAUACAAAAUCGCAGGAGAGCGUUGCGGCUACAAAAGUUUUAGAAAAAAGGAUCAUGCCCUAGGGAAAACCCCUAGAGGCUAUUUAUAAAAGCAAGACAAGUUAAGUAAGGAAAGUCUUUGAUAGUAGUCUUCACAUCGGGAGAUUGCGAUUGGGCAUAUGAUGGGCUGAAAUGGGACUCACUGCGAUGGAGUAUGUCAUGGAUCAAACUUGGCUUCAGGGACUCCACCUUGCAAUCGUGUGGUCUGGAGUGAAGACGAGAUAAAAUUGUCCAGCGACCCUGCGAUCGAGUAGAUGUCAUGAGGUGGUGAUCGAGUGGUUUCUUCAGCUUCUCUUCUCUUCCGUAUGCUCAGUGUUGGUGUCGGAUCCCGCACCAAAAGUCCGAAGUCGUCUCAGCCUGUAAUAAGCCCAAUCGCUGACUUAAUAAUGAUUUUACAAAUAUUUUUAAAAGGGGUUUAAAACGUUAAUAAUGAUUUUACAAGGAUUUUUAAAAGGAUUAGUACCUGAGCAGUAGGAAAAGAAUGAGAAACAAAAGGAUUUGAAGUCGUCUCAACCUAUAAUUAACACAAUCACUGACUUACUAAAUCUAUAUAUAAACCAUUUUUAAAAUUAUAACACAAGAAAGUUAUUGAAAAACCUACUCCACUGUCACAGAAAUUUGCUCUACUCUGUGAGAAUUUGUGCAUAAAAGUUGCAAGUUGUCUAUCGUUUCUAAUAUAAAGAGGAUGAGAUUGUAUUGUUCUAGAAGUGGAGACUUGCUUAUAACUAAGCUUCAAAGAAUUGGUUGAACUAUCUAUUCGAAAAUUCUCUACAAGAAUAUCAACCAAUGCGUGAUAGGUAAUGUGCUCAUCAAUGAGCACUAAAGAAGCUCCCAUUUCAAUGUCUAAUUCAAAUUCCCAAGUCAUAUUGUUUGUCAACUUCCACAAACCACAAACAGAAUACUAUUCUAUCAUUAUAACCUGAUAAGAUAAAUAACAACAAAAUCAAUACCCACAAACAUUGUCACUACAGAGAGAAGCAUGGUUUACAAUUAUUUUUAAAGCAUAAGUAAGUGGCAUAUAAUGAUUUACAAGGAAUUUUAAAAGCUUUGAAAAUGGGUUAACAUGAUUUACAAUCAUUUUUAAAGCAUAAGUAAGUGGCAUAGAAUGAUUUACAAGGAAUUUUAAAAGCUUUGAAAAGGGGUUAACAUGGUUUACAAUCGUUUUUAAAGCAUAAGUAAGUGGCAUAUAAUGAUUUACAAGGAAUUUUAAAAGCUUUGAAAAGUGGUUAACAUGGUUUACAAUCGUUUUAAAGCAUAAGUAAAUGGCAUAGACCUAUCACGAAAGCGUAAGUAAAGGGGUAAACACUAAAUCAAAACCAAAAUUUAUCACGGAACAAUAUAACGAAUUCAAAUCUAUCACAAAACAGUAUAACGAAUUCAAAAGGAAUUAACGAAUUCACAUAAUCAACCCCAAAAUCGAAAGCAAAAUAGUAGAAUUUACAAGGAUUUUAAAAACAAUUCAAUCAUUAAAUCUCAAACAAAAUUCAAAUUCGAAGCAUCAACAAAUGUCAAAUUGUCGAUUGAAUCAAUAUCACGAAUCACAUAAGCAACAACAAAAUCGAAAACGAGACAUUUAGGCUAAAAUUACAAAUUCGAAAUCGAUUCCAUGAGAGAAAAACAAACAUGGGGAAAACAAGAGAUUGAAAUGAAGACUGAGACGGUGAAAUCGAUAACACGAAUCCGACAAUCUCCGACGGCCACGACGCAAUGCGACAGCGACAAUUAAAACAAUCUCCGACGGCGAUGACAGACGAAGAAUACAUAUGACAUCAAUUGAAAUUAGAUCGAUUAGUCUCUGUAGUUCACUAAGGGUAUUUUGGGGAUAAAAUAAUUAGGUGGGGUAGAAAUAAAAAUGGCUAAAAAAUGGGUAAAGUUUAAAAGGAGCAUCAUGAAAAGGGCAUUAGAAAGAAUUUUACAUAAUUAUAUAAUAAAAUAUGUUUUCCUUAUAAAAAUGGUUUCUAUCACUAACUCUUUAACCAUCAACAACCUACUAUUUUAUUAAAUGACAUUGUUUUUUCCUUAGAUUCUUAUUGGAUAUCUCUUCUAAGUCGUUAAUAUUCAUUUUCUUUAUUUUUGAAUUAGUAUUUAUUUUGCAUUUUUCUCUAAACUACAAUAUGUUGUUGUAUGUUUGUCUUUGUUUGAGGUUAGUAUAUUUUUUACUCAUCGCUAUUUGCCAAUUUUCAUAAUUAUUUUGAAUCAAUGGUGGAGUAUUUAUUAAGAUAUUAGUUUGUUUAGUGACAAAGUAUGAGAUAAUAUAUUUUUUUACAAAUGUGAGUACUUACAAUUUGUUUUCUUAUAGGAUUAACAACUGAUUGUAUAAUUUUUUUAAUCCUUUUUCUAUUUUUCAUAUUUUUCUUGUUUAGUUAGUAACUUAUAAUUAAAACAUUUAGAUUAAUUUUCUAAAUUCUAUAGUUUUAGAAAAUAAACAUAUAAUUUUAUUAUAUAUAAGUAUAGUUUCCUUAUAAUAAUCUUUUUAUAUUCUUCAAACUGUUUAAAUUGUAUAAUUUUGUUGUAAUUAUUUUUUUAUAAUUUUUUAAUUGUUAAAUACAAAACUUUUGUUUGCGACAUAACAAAAAUCUCCUAUGAAAAUAUAGGUAUUAAAAUUGCAUUGAUAGAUUUGAAAUUUCGUGUUUUUUUUAGUUGAAAUUUAUCCUCUUAAUUAUAUGAUUUUAAUUUUUACUUAUUUUGAAAAUCUGUACUUUUCAUUUUUUAUGCAUAUAUCAAAAUAGAGAAGCAUUUCCAUAUGUACAUGUGUGAAAUCUCAUUAAUAAAUGGACAUAACUUUAUACUUUUAUUUUUUAUAAUAUUUUUUAUUUUUUAUAAUGCAUAGUUUCAUUAUAAUUAUCCUCUAUCUUUUAUAAUAUUGUUCUAAAAAAUUUAUUUUUUAUACAUGUCAAAAUCUAAGAUCUCUAAAAUUGACCCGUGUUAUAAUCUCCUGAGUUACUAUCAAAACCGUACUUUGUAUAAUAAGAUCCCUUUAGGUAGACAAAUAUUUGUACUUUUUUAUGUUAGUAUCCAACAUUAUAUUUUGUUGCCUAAACUGAACAUUAUUAAAUUGUUAAUUAUAAGAUUUCACCUAUAGUAUACCUUCCCGUAUUAAUAUCGAUCCAAACUCGUCCCACCAUAUAACUAUACAACACUGGUUAUUUAGAAUUUCGAUUGCCCUUUAAGGAUAACAAAAGAAAGAAACAACAAAUGUUGUUUUCAAAUAGAUAUUCCAAAACCUUGUCUAGAUUAAUUAAAAUGGUAUGAAUUUUUUAUUUAUUUAAUUACUUUUACAUAUUAAUUAUUCUACACAAUUUAUGAAAUACUAAUUGUUUUUUCUUUAGUAUGUGCAGGUUGACCCAUUAACGAUCCGAUCCAACGCUUCUUCACCUGAAAAUUUGCUUGGAUUCUCUUCGUUUAAAAACAAUACCAAAUAAACAAACUUUUGCCUGAUGAAAUCAAUGACCGAUCUUGGAUGCAAGUUUAAAGAGUCUUUCCUCAUCGUUCGUUCAGUUUCUUAAUCGCUUCUUUGUAUUUUCAAAUUCGAUUGAUAUUCUGUAAAUUCCCUCAUUUUGGUCAAUUGCUUUAAUGUAACUUCAAAUUUGAGUUUUUUCAUUCUCUUCAAACUCUGUUUUUAAUGGAUUUGAUAUGGUGAAGGAGAAUACACUAAACAUGGAUGGGAAGAAGAAGGAGAAGCCAGCAGCUCAGUUUCACUCAAUCGCAUAGCCGGAGGAAUCACCCACUCUAUAUCGUUCACGUGGCAAUCUUUGGUUGGUCCCGGACUUUCGGUGCGGGAUUCGACACCAACAAUUAGCCCUCCAAGUCUUUCGAAGUGUUAUCCUAAUUCGGAAGACUUUAAUGCUUUAAUGUACAAAGAUUGCGCUAGAUGAUUGUAUGAUUUCCCACCAAAAUCUUGUUACUCCCUUGAUUCCGGCACUGUCCAUAUUUACCCGUAUGACAUCUGUCACCAUUAUGACCACAUCUUAAUUAUUUACCAUUAAAGCGGGAAAAUCCUUCACCUUCCCCCACGACUCCCAAGGCGGUUCCAUCAUCAUCACCAGCUUGCGUGAGGUAAAUUUAUUUUAUAUCUUUCUUUUUUUUUACGCUUUUCUCUCUUAGAACAAAGAUCCUCUCUGUUUUACUCUACCAAUUUUUUCUUCGAACACCGGAUUUUUUUAUUCUCUACGAUGAAUCCUGAUACUGAAAGACCCGAAUCCCCAUCUUUCAACGAGUGUGGUUAUAGCAAUGAUAUAUGCACUCGCCCGAACGACAUCGCCGGUCCACACUAUAUGUCUACUUGUACCCUUCAAUGCCUUGAGCGACUGAAGGAGCUUUGCCGGAUUCCGCCGGAGAUUAUGACGGAAUCAAAGAUGCAUGGUCCCAUGGAGUCCCCGGAGGACCAUCGCUCCGGUUAUUUUUGCGUUUACGAGAUCUAUUUCAAGGGCUGCGGGUUGACCUUUCCUUUUCCUGAAGCCUUGGUCUGUUACUUGGAAACUCUUGGAAUUGCCCUGUCCCAACUAACCCCCAACCUUCUCUGAACUAUCUUGGGGAACAUAACUGUUACGGCGGAAGCCGGAUACGUUAUCGAGGUUCCUGAACUAAACAAGCUUCUUAGCGUGAGAAGUUCAUCGAAGAAAACUGGGUACUUUUCGGCGUACCCGAAUGCCAACAGGAACCUCAUCUCGCACCUCCCGAACAAGGAUGAGAACUGGCAUCAACCUUGGUUUUUGAUUAAGAAAACCCUUGCUUCAAUCGGAAAUCUUUCCGAUGUGCUUCCAUCGAAGUGGUCUACGAAACCCGGUAGAAAUUAGGUCGCAUAUACCUUCUCUGUUUACCUUUACUGUUUAUUGACCAAAUCUGUUGUUUCACUUCGCAGCUUUCAUCGCUCGGACUCUCUCGACCGAGGAAUUCAUCGAACUCUUCAAAAUCGUCUUCGAAGGGGAAACCCUCUGGAAUUCCUUCACCCGUGACCGGUUUAUAGAGGCCAAUCACAAACUCAGAAUGAGCCCUCCCGGACAGCUUCAUCAACUUCCGCCACCUCCUUCCCUAUCUCAAGGAACAUUAGCCCGUGAUCUUGCUUCUCGGUGGAAGGUGAUAUCAAAGCCGAUGGCUGAGGCUUGCGAGGUAAACAAGACGUUCCUUGCUAGUUGACAAUGGUAGCGCCGAAGGGGCCAGAUCGGCCGAUGCGUUUAGGUCAACACUCCGUCCUGAACGCCAUGGUGGUCGUUCUCCUCGGAGAAAAAGAUAUCCCCGUCGUGACUCUCCUCGCUCUUCUCCCCGAGGUGGACUGAGCAGCGAACCCAUUGGUAAUUUAGUUUGCAAAAAGAGAGACAGACCGGCUCGUGGCAGCUCUUCUCCCCGAAGGGACAAAUCAAAGGCCCGGACUUUUGACAGAUAGCGUCCCGGAAUUUGAGAACGCUUCUUACUCCAUGCUUACUAUUCAUCGCGGGGUAGUUUCAUUUCCCUUUUUCUAAUCUUGCUAUUCCUUUACGUACUAACUUACUUUCUCGGGCUUAUACUCAGUGCCAGGCAAACAGCAAACUUAACGACAUGGUUGAGCACUAUGAAGGAUUGCUGCUUAGUAGGGAGCAAGACAUCGACACUUGGAAGGGCAAGUUUUCUUCCCUCGAGGCUGACCUCCGUCCCUCUCCGGUUCCAAGCAAAAAUUGGAGGACCAAGUCGACCAUCUCUCUUCUGAACUCAUGGAAUCAAACGGCGAGUUGCAAGAUCAGUACCGUAGACAUGACAAACUCCAAGAUGAACUCUCAGUUGCCCAAGAUAGGCUUUCUGAAUCUGAAUCGGUUGCUUACACCUUGAACAACCAGUUCACCGAACUUAAGGCAAAGUACAAGGCAAUCGCCAAGCUUCGAGAUGCUGAGUUAGCUAAGUCGGCGUUAAAAGCCAGAAAAGAAGUGAAAGGUCGCAGGAUAGAGCUGAUUCAGGGGGCCAUUCUUUUCAUUCAAACCGAAAAGGCAAGAUCAGAGCUGGAAUCUAAUAUUAAGGAGCACGAAAGCAACCUACUCUUGUUGGACCAGGUCCACGAGGAGGAUUUCAGCGAGGAGUAAGAGAGGUCCGAUUUGACAGCCGUUUUAUCCGAGAAACAUAGCCGCCUUCUUGCUCUCCCCGCUUCAUCCUUCAACCCUCAGCACUUCAAAGAGUUCUUCAUCGAAUCACCCCCUUUGGGUGAAUCGGGUUUAGAUUGGGCUGGUAAACUUUCAUACUUAAAGUUUUAUCACUUACAGUUUUUUUAUAUAUACUCUUUACUGAUUUGAACUGUUCUCCUCAGGUUCAAGUGAAUCGGAUGAUACUGCUGCACCUAAGGUGCCUGCCAUACUGGUAGAGAUUGUUGAACCUGACCCUAUUUUGCCCAAAGCUCCUCCGUUGUGAACAGCGAGACGGAGAUCAUCCCGGAUGAUGAGUGUGAUGCUAGGCACGAGCCGGGAACCUCUUUCGAGACACUCCCUGGCGUUGAACCGAAUGAAACCGAGACGACUGAUGUCGAGCCCGAGAUAGCUACGGAUUAAUAGUGGUUGCGUCCACUUGAAAUUGGAGGUUGUCCCAAAUAUUUAAGAACUUGAAAUUAAUUAUUGGAUAAGUAUUUACCUAAGGAGGCUUUUAAACUUUUUUUAAACUAUGAUCCCAAGAGGGUUUGACUAAAGUAGAAUGCGGGUUUGCAAAGUCCGCCUUUAAAUAUUUUGACCAUGUGGUUAAGUUUCGAGAUUCUAAGGUUGAUCAGACCUUUCUAAUAGAACGCGAGAAAUGAGCUCAUCUUAACGCGAAUUUCCCAUCUCGGGUUGAGUUAAUUCAUUACAUUUAUUGGGCUUGGGCCUUAACUGUUAUACCUUGUAUUUAAUGGGCUCUUUGUCUUAAAUGCGACGGUUGCCAUUUCCCAUCCUAUUUCUCGAGAAACCGGAAAAAACCUCACGCCUUUGAGGCAAUAAUUGCCUUUUAUCGAUUUCCAAAUAUGGCUUAAACCAUUCGGACACGCCAUCAUUAUUGAAUUUUUGGUUUCAAGACAAGAUCUAAACCUCUAUAAAUAAAAGUUUAUCUAUCACCGAAUUUCCCCCAAGUAUGAUUUUAGAAAUUUACUUGAUAAACACCACGAGAAUGGAAAACGAAGGAGCCUCCACUGUCUGUCCUCUCGACCCUGGCAGUCCAUUGUUUCUGUCCGGCGAUGAUUUCGAACCUGCCGGCGUUCUCUUUCCACACACCGCUUUCCACUUUCCUCCGAAAGAUAAAAAGGAGGCGUACGACUAUAUGGACAAGGUCGGGAUUCAUUCUUCUUCCCUCUAUUACGAUUCUUCAUCUUUUUUUUAUAUAUUUACCGGUUUCCAUGUUAGGUUGUCGACAAACAUCGCCGCUUGUGCGAUGAGAGGCAACGUCUGGGCCUCAAAAGGCAAACGCUCGAGGCCCGAAUCGCUCGAGUGGAGAGGAAGGUGAGGGAAAUGGAGAGUGAUCCCUUUCAAUGGGAGUUGAGGAACUUCGACUGCGUUGCCAAGAUCCCGACUAUGCUUUGGAUGUACCUCCGCGCUCGUGGUCAAGUUCUCGGUCUCGUGAAUGCUCAUGUUGAGGUGGUCCCAUCCGAUAGCGAGGAGGACGACGAAGAAGAGGACAUCGACCCCUCGAAUUGUGUCAAGAAUGAACCCAAGGUAGACGACAAAAAUGAAGCGUCCACUUCGAAUGCUGAAUCGGCGAUGAAGGAGCAUGUUCCUAAACCUCUUCCAUAAAUGUCCCCGAACUUGCUACUUACUUUUUUUUAUUUUUUUUUUAACUCGUUAUGGGCUCCGGCUCAUUUUUAAUUUAUGGAAACUUUUUUAUUUCCUUGAUCUCAAAAUACUCGUUUUGGAGAUAUGUUUUAAAUGCAGGGCCAACUGGAAGGCGUAGGUCUUUCCGCGAAUCACUCCGGCCUCAAAUAGAAUUGCAAUCUUCAAAGGUGCCAAGUCCCUAUAAAUUGCGACUCCAAGUUUUCUUUAUUUUUUAUUACAACUUUCUUUUCCUUUUGCAGCUAUGGAGUUUAACCUUCGAUGUUCGGAGUCCAUGCCAGACUUUUCUAGGGUCGGAAUGAUGGAUGAGGACAUCCCAAACGUGCGGGGAAGAGGGCCUUCUCAACCUCGUGGCUUCUUAAGGUCCCAAAUCCGAGCUCCAUGUGCAUUGAUGAAGGGACUUUCUGACAUAGACCAAGAAAUCACGAUGGCAUUCAUCAAGGCUCUUGCGGUUCAGCACCAGAAGCGUUCGUUGGAAAGGAGGAAAAUCCGAAAAAAGAUUAACCGAAUAUUACGUAGGGUUAUUGCGAUAUCGAGGGAACUUCACACCCUCAACUCUCACCCCGGGGACUGGAUUGAGCUUGGAAUUUCCGAAUUUGAUCGCAUACCGGAUUGUAUGAUGCCGAUUCUUGAACUCGCUGGUCAAGGAGUCCAACUGUUCUACAAGUCGAGAAGAGUUUCUUAAUUUGAAGUGCUAGCGUGACGAAACUUCGUCUUCUUUGCUUACUGCUUGAAUACUUUCGUUUUGUUUCCUGUAUUUGCAUGUUCGCGUAGUCGAACUUUUCUUGCUUUGUUCGUUCGCACAGUCUGAACUCGUUCCCAAGCUGCGUACGUACCUAUUUCAAGAUCAAGCGACACCGUAGUUCAUGUACAUAACAAAAAACGCGUGUUUACUUAAACAUAAAACUUCUUUAAAAUGACCACAUUCCAAAGACCCUAGACAGGCAUGUCUUCUUAAUCUUUUAACCUAUAAACACCAUUCUGAUCCACUUCGGUAAUAAUAUAAGGUCCUUCCCAAUUAAUAUCGAGCUUGCUUGCUCAUUCUUCCUUUUUAUUGUUGAAAACGCGCUUUAGAACGUAAUCACGUACAAAGAAAGGUCUGAUUUUGAUUUUGGAAUUGUAAUAUCGAGCUGCUGCCUGCUGGUAAUUCUGAAUCCGGAUCAAAGCUUGGUCUCGCCUUUCGUUGAUAGUAUCUAACGAAUCAUCGAGCAUUGCUGAGUUUUCUUCUUCGGUUAGGGGAGCCUCUGUUCAGCAAAGUCCAUACACGUUGAGCUCGGCCGGGACCACUGUUUCCAUCCCAUAAACUAAAAAAAACGGAUUUUCCCCAGUAGACCGCCUAGGAGUUGUGCGGUAAGCCCAUAAAACCUGUUGAAGCUCGUCGUACCAACCUCCCUUCAAAUGAUUCAGGCACUUUUUUAGAUUGGUUAGGAUUGUCUUAUUUGCGGCUUCGGCUUGACCAUUUCCUUGUGGAUAACGUGGAGUGGAGUAACUGACUUUGAUUCCCCAAUCUGUACAGAAAGUUUCGAAUUCGUGCGAAAUGAAUUGUGGUCCGUUGUCUGUGACUAUCUCGUAUGGGACACCAUGCCGACAUCUGGUAUUUUUCCAAAUGAAAGUUUUUACUGCCAAAUCUUACGUAUGCUUCAGCCUCAAUCCAUUUUGAAAAAUAAUCAGUUAAGACAAAAGAUAUUGUACGCCUCGAGUUGAUCUGUGCAAUGGUCCAAUGAUAUCCAUCGACCACCUCAUAAACGGGUAUUGGGCAGAGAUAGAAAAGAAUAACUCCAAAGAUUGAUGGAUUAGAGGUGCAUGAAGUUGGCAACGCUUACACAGCUGGGCGUACUUAACACAAUCUGUUAUCAUAGUGGGCCAAUAAUAUCCCAUUCUUUUAAUUUUGAAAGCCAUUGCCCUUCAUGAUGAAUGACUACCACACAGACCUUCAUGCACUUCGCUCAUGACAAUUUUGACUUCGAGCCCAAAGAUGCAUAGUAGGUAAGGGUCGCUGACACCUCGCUUAUAUAAUGCGUCCUUUGACAAACAAAAUUUUGCGCUAACGAUUCUCAUUUUCCUGGCCUGCCACUUAUUUUUUGGGAGCUUGCCUGUCACAAUGUAAUGUUUUAUUGUCUCCCUCCAAUCAGUCUCCCAAUCUUUAGCCUGAAUUUGGUCAACCUCGUGAAAUAUUCUUGGUUCCGGUUUGGGAUGCUCGUUUAGCUCAAGUAUAUCCUCCUCGAUAAGUGGCUCGGUCUCUAUAACCGUUUCUGGAACUGCGUCUUCUGUCAGGUCAAUAGGCUCCUCGCUACUAUUUUCUUUAGAUGUGCCAGACUCAAAUAUGGUUGAACCUUUUGACUUCCUCCACUUUAUGGAAGUAAUUCUAUUCUCAGGCUCACCAAGCUCACGCGCCGCAGCUCGAGACCUUGUAAUGACGAGGGUCCUUUUUUCCUCCUUAAUGUUCUAUUCUGAAAUGCAUUCUACUGGAGUGACUCUUUUUACCAAAGGAUCUGACGUUGACGCCAGCGUGGCAAGUGCGUCCGCGGUUGUAUUUUCUCCUCGAGGUAUGCGAAUGAGUUCAAAUUUGAGAUAUGCUUCCAUUCUUGAAUCUUUGGUUUUGUAAUAUCCAUUGAACUGGUUAACAACCAGUUGUGAAUCACAAUAAGCGAUCAAUUCUUUAGCUCCAACUCCUUGUGCCAACCUAAGUCCAGCGAUUAGAGCUUCAUAUUCUGCCUCAUUGUUAGAAGCAUUGAAUAGCAAACAGAAUGAUUGCUCAAGAAUUUCCGAUGUGGGAGAUUCCAACUUGAUUCCCACUCCUGUUUUGAUGAACAUCUAUCUACAUGCAACUUCCAAGUUUCAUUUUGUGGUUGCUCCGGCGCGCCAAGUACUGGUAGUUUGGUCAGGAUAUCUGCCAAAACUUGGGCCUUCAUGCUGACUCGGCUUUUGUACUCUAUAUCAUACUCACUUAGCUCCACUACCCACUUCGCCAAUCUUCCGGACUGACUUGGACUAUGAAGAAUUGUUCGAAGUGAAUGAUUGGUUAAUACUUCGAUCGGAUGAGAUUGGAAAUAUGGACGCAACUUUCGGGCAGAAGUUACAACCGCAAGUGCGAGUUUUUCCAUCAUUGUAUAUCUAGUUUCUGGAUUUGUCAUGGACUUACUUACGUAGUAAAUCGGCUUCUGUUCUCCGCGAUCCUCCCGUAUCAAGACUCCACUAACUGCAAGGUUCAACACUGAAACGUACAAAUAGAGCUUUUCAUCCACUUCGCGCUUGGACAGUACGGGUAGAGUUGUUAGGUAUGCCUUAAGCUGUCCAAAUGCCUCUUCACAUUUCUCAUCCCAAAGGAAUCCUUUGUUUCCUUUUAGAAUUUGAUAAAAGGGUAUAGAUUUAUCUGUUGAUAUUGAAAUAAAACGGUUUAGAGCUGCAAUCCGACCCGUUAACCGUUGCACUUCUUUGAAAUUUUUUGGAGACGGCAUGUUGAGAAAAACAUUGAUUUGGUUCGUAUUGGCUUCAAUUCCCCUUUUUGUCACAAUAUAACCAAGGAAUUCCCAGGAUGGAACUCCGAACGUGCAUUUUGUCGGGUUCAGCUUCAUUUGGUAUUGAUUGAGAAUUUCAAAACAUUCUUCUAAAUGCUUAAUGUGGUCCUUUUUCUUUAACAACUUGACCAACAUAUCAUCUUUGUAAACUUCCAUAGUCUUCCCAAGAUGUUCGUGGAACAUUUUGUUGACCAAUCGUUGGUAAGUAGCUCCUGCAUUUUUUAAACCAAAAAGCAUUACUUUAUAACAUUAAAUACCUCUAUCCGUGAUAAACGAUGUUUACUCCUGAUCUUCGGGAUUCAUCAUUAUUUGAUUAUAACCCGAGAAGGCAUCCUAAAAGUUAGUAACUCGUUCCCAGCGGUAGAUUCCACAAGACUCUAUAUGCAGAAGCGGGAAACUAUCCUUCGGGCAGGCUUUAUUGAGGUCUGUGAAGUCGAUGCACACUCUGUCUUUUCCAUUCUUCUUCUUGACCACAAUAGAGUUUGCUACCCAAUCUGGGUAUGGCACCUCCCUUAUAGACCCUAUCUUUAAAAGUUUAUCUACUUCGUCAUUUACCGCCUUUGCUCGUUCCACUCCGAGUUUUCUUCUUUUUGGUUUUACAGGCUUGAAUCUCUGAUCCACGUUUAGCUCGUGGCAGAUUAUGCUUGGAUCUAUGCCACGCAUAUCCGCUGCUGACCACGCAAACGAUGCUUUAUUUUUGUUCAAAAGUUCUAUUAUGGCUUCUUUUAAUUUGUCGGUUGAUAUGAUUCAAACUACCUAGAACUACUCUCUCAAAUAAGAGAUCAAUUGCAGUAUUUUAGGAUCGAUUUCACGGAGUUCUUUUGUUCAAACAGUGAGUUAAAUGUCGAGAUUAAGCUAGCAGGGUGUGAGUGAAAUAGUAAGAAAACAAAAUAAGAAAAUAGAAGAUUGAUUGUGUUGUAAACGAUUUAAUAAAAGAGGUAGGAACAGGGUAUUCUCAGGAAACUAUUGGUUAGUAGAUCUAAUUAAAGCUAGGUUGUUAUCGAACCAUUCUUAAACUCAAACUCUAAUUAUGGAAUAACCGGUGGGCGUGCCGCAAAACUCCCUAUAUCUAUAGCUAAUAGUGACCGGAGAAGCCGAGAGACUAUCAACUUAAAUAUGCAUUCUUAACGAGUUCAAUUGUUCAUCUUAGUAAAUAGGCCGAUUCUUAUUACACACCUAGACCAGACUCAUCAAAUAAUAGAUCCAACUACAGAUUCCUAUGGCGGGCAUAUCUAUUGUCUGGAUUCAAGAUCUAGUUAAUUACUCUAGAUCUAGCAUUAGGUAUAAUUAGAGAUGAAGAAUUCUAAAGAUAACCUAGCAAAGGGGGCAAUCUACUAAACCAUAUGAAUCCCUAAUGAGAAACCCUAUUCCUAACAAGCAGACUACUCAGACAUAUUGAAUGAAACAAACAACAUAAUUGAGAUAGAAAGCAUGAACACAGUGAAUAGAGAAGGGGAAAGAAGGGAUCUCUUCACUGUAUAUAGAUCUGAAUGAAACUCUGAAUAACAAUGGAUGAAUAGCUUAUGUCUCUUACAAUAGGGUUUGCAAAGAACUUGAUAAAAGACUUGAUAAAAGAAACUUAGGUCUAAAAACAAUAUAUAUAGACCCUAAAAACGUCUAGGGACUAAUAAUGCAAAUAGAGAAAUCUUCUGGGGCAAACUUGAGCUUCUGGAAACUCGAAAGCGGCUAGGGUUUUUGCUGGGCCAGAACUGGUGUCGAUCGACACCAAGAGUGUGUCGGUCGACACUCCUCGCUGAUUCCUGAACCAAAAUUGUCCUUAGCUUCCUUUUCAUUAGGUUUUGCUCCAAAAUGUCUCCUUAUCUCCAAUGUUGUCCCAUUGCAUAGAAUACCUGAAAAGACACAAAAAAGACUCGAGAAAUAACAUAAAGACUCAAAAUCCUAUACCUAAAACAAAGAUAAAUCGGUGAAUAUUGGGUUAUAUCAUCGGUUAGAGUAGCUCCAAUUCGAACUUUCCGAUUUGGCUUGUCCUCUUCUAACAUUAUUUCUUUCUUCGCGGGCUUCGUUAAUUGCUAUUGGAUCUUCAGACGGUGGCUAGCUAGAUAACAUGUCCGAGAAGCUUUAAAGUGAUACAAAACCAAAAAAAAAUAGUAAUAUUAGAAGUUGUUUCUCAAGGCAAAUCAUUUGUGAAUGUAAAAACAACUUAAAAACAACUCUGUUCCUGGGUGAUUUUUUCUUCUCGAGUAGAUAGUGGUGUUUGUAUAACAUCUUCAUCAUCUUUCUUGGUCUCUUUUGGAACAUGUAAACCAAAACAUCAAAGCAAAUUUUUUCUUUUUUUAAACAAUUUUAUCAUGUCUUUUUCAAAAGUUAAGGAAUGCAUACCUCUGUUAUUUCUUAUUUUUGUUGUUGUGAUUCUUUCUCUGUGGGUGCAGUAUCAUUAUCUUCAUCAUCUAACAAAAUUACAUACGCUUCUUGAUCUGCAAAAUCAUUAUGUUCAUCAUGUUCUUCUACUUUUUCUUCUUCCUCUUCUCUUCCUUCUUCCUCUUCCUUUUUUUCAUCUCCUUGUUUGGGAUUCUCUUGUUUUUCUGUUUCUUCAUCAUUGCAAGUAGAAUGAUGACCUCUGUAUUCAACCUAUAUAAAUAAUUACAAGUUUUAUAAGUACAAACCAUGACACAUUUGUUUGUUCCUUAAAAUCGGAAAAUUAGUCAUGUAAAUCACUUUUCAAAAGCAUUUAAAAUCCCUUGUAAAUACUUAUCGAACACUGUCUAUCCUUUAAAAACGGCUUAAAAUCUUUAAAAUAGAAGCUUUAAAAAUCCCUUGUAAAAACGAUAAUCACAAAGAUUUAUAAUUUCAAUAACUAUAAGCCAUUAUAAAACUUUAUUAAAACUCAUACAGAUUAACAUAUACCUUUUCUUCUUCUUCUUCAUCUUCUUCAUCGUUUUCUUCUUCCUCUUCUUUUCCUUCUUCCUCAUGUUUUUCUUCUUCUCCUUGUUUGGGAAUUUCUUUCUUUUUUGUUUCUUCAGAAUGAUGACCUCUUUAUUCAACCUGUAUAAAUAAUUACAAAUUUUAUAAUAACCCAAACUUUUAAAAUUCCUCGUAAAUACGUAUCAAACACUGCCUAUCCUUUAAAAACGACUUUAAAUCUUUAAAACUCCAUUUAGAAGCUUUUAAAAUCCCUUUGUAAAAACGAUGAUCAAAAAGAAUUAUAAUUUCAAUAACUAUAAGCCUUUAUUAAACUUUAUGAAACCUCAUACCGAUUAACACAUACCUUUUCUUUUUCCUCUUCUUUUCCUUCUUCCUUUUCCUUUUCUUCAUCUCCUUGUUUGGGAUUCUCUUGUUUUUCUGUUUCUUCAUCAUUGUUAGUAGAAUGAUGACCUCUGUAUUCGACCUAUACAAAAAAUUACAAGUUUUAUAAGUACAAGCCAGGACACACUUGGUUGUUUUUUAAAAUCAAAUAAUUAGUCAUGUAAAUCACUUUUAAAAGGCUUUUAAAAUCCCUUGUAAAUACUUAUCGAACACUGCUUAUCCUUUAAAAACGGCUUAAAAUCUUUAAAACUCCAUUUAGAAGCUUUUAAAAUCCCUUAUAAAAACGAUAAUCACAAAGAAUUAUAAUUUCAAUAAUUAUAAUAAGCCUUUUUAAAACUUUAUUAAAACUCAUACAUAUUAACACAUACCUUUUCUUCUUCCUCUUCUUUUCCUUCUUCCUCUUCCAUUUCUUCAUCUCCUUGUUUGGGAUUCUCUUGUUUUUUCUGUUUUUCAAUCAUUGUUAGUAGAAUGAUGAUCUCUGUAUUCGACCUGUAUAAAAAAUUACAACUUUUAUAAGUACAAGCCAGAACACACUUGUUUGUUCUUUAAAAUCGAAUAAUUAGUCAUGUAAAUCACUUUUAAAAAGCUUUUAAAAUCCCUUGUAAAUAUGUAUCGAACACUGCCUAUCCUUUAAAAACGGCUUAAAAUCUUUAAAACACCAUUUAUAAGCUUUUAAAAUCUCUUGUAAAAACGAUAAUCACAAAGAAUUAUAAUUUCAACAGCACAUACCUUUUCUUCUUCCUCUUCUUUUCCUUCUUCCUCUUCCUUUUCUUCUUCCUCUUCUUUUUUUUCUUCUCUAGUAGAACUGGCAGAAACUCUUUCGAUCCCUAAAUAGCCCUCCACCCUUCCAACUUUUUUCUUAAGAACUUCACAGUUUUCAUAGACCAGUGCUACUUUCUCACCAAAGGACAUUAAUUUCCUUUUUCUGCUGUGAUGCACAAUUGUUUCAAUUGUAAGUUUCAUUACAUGAUCAAUUCUACUUUCAUGUCCUUGUUCCACUUGAACCAACCCUGACACCAAUCCUUUUUGCUCAUUCUAUACCCUUUGAUCACAAGAUCAAAAACAUCUAACAGAUCAUUGUCUUCAAUAUCCUUCUGUGAAACCAAGUGGUCAUAUUCAUGAGAAUUAACACCAACUAUUGGUGUACUUCAAACUGCAAAGAUAAACUAAAUUCCAAACUAUGUAAAAAUCAUGUACAAUGCUUAAUUAACCUUUAAAAAUCCCUUAUAAAUUGUUUAAAUUGCCUUUAAUCCUUUUUAAAUCCUUAAAACUUGAUUGUAAAAACUAUUGUAAAACAUACUCUUUAUUUAUAAACAGUGUUUAAAAAAAAAAAAGUCAUAGGUAAGAAAAAUGUACCUUGUCACCAUCUGCAAUUAUUGUUACAGCUUUUGCACUUGGAGACGAUGUUGAUCUCCAUUGGAGAAUUAAUGGAAUAUUUCCACUAGAUGAUUCAUCUCUAAGCCAAACUUUUCUCCCAACUUCAGAACCGAUGAUAAUGCCCAUAUGUGAAUUGUAGAAACAAAUCGACUAUAUUGUUUCCUUAACAAAGUGUCAAUAUUGAAUUUCUUCACUUCAGUUACCAAAUAUGAGUAAACAAUCUGCGCCCAUCGAUACUUGCAGAACUUUUCGAAAUCACUAGCUCUCUGCAGAUUCUCAAUUGGCAGCAAGGUAGUCGGAUUUUGAGCUAGCAAUAUCCCCUCCACUAGUAACAAACCCCCCAAUCUCAUUCUCUCCUUCUGGCAGCAUUUUUUUGGAUGUAAGAUCGACAAAUCACAUUUUAUCAUUAAUCCACAAAUCUUUUUUCUGCUUUUCUUCAAAGUCUGAUUAUCUUCUAUCUACCACUUUUCUAUCUUCUUCUCUUCACAUUUGGACUGCUUCCUGAUGCAUCAUCUAUUGGAAGUUAUGUUGUUAUGAUAAACUCUUUCAGGGAGAAUCACAUAGGUUGAUCAGCAAAUAAAAACCACAAUUCGUCAUUGCUGGUUAGUAUCCUUCUUUUGAGUAAAUGAUGGACGAUAUGGCUUGAAAAGGCUAUGUCAUUGCAUUCAACGAAUUCCACUACAGGACCCAAGAACGUGUCCAUUAAUGUCUUGUACUCUAUCGGCUUUAAUGCUUCCCUGGCCUUCAAGACAAUUUUGUUUGAUGAAUGCUUUGAUACCCUUGUAACAUUAUCUAUUUCUCUGCCUAGUUGAAAUAGUCUUGUAGGGAAGUACAGUUUCUUUGUACUCAUUUUCUCAAAACCUGAUGAAAUACAUUAACACAGUCUUUAAAUUAACACAAUUUUGAAUAUCGUUUUAAAAACCAUUGUAAAUCUAUUGUGCUUGUGUAGUUUCGAAACAUAAACACAGUCAUUACAAGUCAUUUUAAGGAAGUACAGUUUCUUCGUACUCAUUUUCUCAAAACCUGAUGAAAUACAUUAACUCAGUCUUUAAAUUAACACAAUUUUGAAUAUCGUUUUAAAAACCAUUGUAAAUCUAUUAUGCAUGUGUAGUUUCGAAACAUAAACACAGUCAUUACAAGUCGUUUUAAGGACUUUAAAACCCCUUGUAAAACCAUUUUUAAAAAUCCUUCAUAAUCCUUUUCAAAGACCUUUUUGAAAUUUUAAAUCUUUGAAAAGCACACAGCCGCCAAAAAUAGAAACCAAUAAACCCUUUUUCAAACCAACUCUAAUCAACUGGUAACCCAUCAAUUAAGUGAGGAUCUAUAAAUUAAACCACAAACCCAAACAUCAAUCUAUUUAUUGGUGUAGUUUCAAAACAAAAACCCUUGAAAACGGUUGUAAAUCCUUUUAAAAACGGUUGUAAAUCUUUUCAUAAUAACAGCUAUUGCAUCUUUUUCAACACUUUUAAAAUUCUUUUAAACAGCUAGUAAAUCAUUAAAAAAACCUGCUAAAAAGCAUGUUUAACAUUUUAAAGCCCUUUCCAUUCAAAUCAAAGCACCUGUUAACCCAAACAACCAUUAUACAAUAAUUGUGUUAACCAAGAGUUGUACUAAAUAAACUUCAUAAAAUUUGUUCCAUACAGAUGUUCAUAAAAUAUUCAAAUGACAAAGUUUUAUGAAAUAAGAAACAAAAGCUGCUAAAUCUAUCUUAUACUCCACUACUUUUUGAUUAGGAAUCUGCUACUCCUGCAUAGUGACUGACCCUAAUUCUGUGAUGAUGUCAACAGCCAAUUUCUUCCUUGAGUUUCCGAUAAUGUUUCCUUCAAGGUUUGAAUGGUUGGUAUACAUUGAGUAACACUCCAUAAACUUCAACAUAUAUAUACCGGAAUCUUCAUUUCUAGGAGCCUACCACGAAAAACCAAAAGAAUUACUUGAGCAAAGAGGUCAAGACUUAAGGAAUCUUCAUUUCUAGGACUAUGAUAUAUUAAAGAAGUUACCUGAGGAAAAGUGGUCAGGACUUUGAUGCUAAAUGGAGAGACAUCGAUGUCUUUUUUUUUGAGGAUGUUCCGAACAAUGUAUGGCAUAGCUAUAGAGGAGGCACCAACAUAUUUUUUCUUGACUUCUUCUGUUAAAUAAGAAGCUGCAUAUUCCCAUAUACAAAUUGUAUUCUGUUCCAAGUAUAUUAGCAAGGCAACCCAACAUUUUCCUUUGAUACAGAAAGGAGCCAAUAUGCACUUGGUAUCUUCCUCUAUUAUCAGCUUACAGAUUUCUUCAGAUGGAAACUGAAAUCCCUCUUUAAAAUCCAAAAACUCCAUGUAUGACUCAUCAAUCGCAUUUACGAAAAACGAUCCAACAAAUACAACUGUUUUGUUUUUGAAGAUUUUUGGAUUGCUUUCCUUCCUCGUUUUCAAUAACUCCAAAGCUGCAUCAACAUGCUAAACACAACAAAAAUAAAAAAAUUAUCAUAUUAGAAAAUCUCUUUAAAAACGAUUGUAAACCAUGCAAACCCUUUUUAAAAUACCUUGUAAAUCAUUCUAUGCCACUUACAUAUGUUUUUAACGAUUGUAAAUCAAGUUAAACACUUUUAAAAGCUUUUAAAAUUCCUUGUAAAUCAUUUUAUGCCACUAACUUAUGUUUCUUAAACGAUUGUUAAUCAAGUAAACCCCUUUUAAAAAUUUUUAAAAUCUCUUGUUAAUCAUUCUUUACCACUUUCUAAUCCUUUAAAAACGAUUGUAAACCAUGUAAACACUUUUUAAAUUCCCUUGUGAAUCAUUCUUUACCACUUUCUAAUCUCUUAAAACCGUUUAUAAACCAUGUAACCCCCUUUUAAAAUCCCUUAUAAAUCAUUCGAUGCCACUUACUGAUGCUUUAAAAGCGAUUGUAAAUCAUGUUUUACCCUUUUAAAAGCUUUUAAAAUCCCUUCGAAAACCAAUUUUACAAGGAUUUUUAGACAUACCGUUGUUGUUAUUGCUUUCCCUGGCGUCUCUAGGCUUGUAAACCACUUUGUAUUUAUAAUAUUUUCUGCGAUUGAUAGUGGCCUACAACAACAAAACUGUCACCAAUGACUGUUAUAUUUUUAAAAAAACUCACUAUCUUACUAACAAAAACUCACUUGUUUUUUCUUGACUUCUUCCACUCAGCCGAUUUCUCAAAUCUUGUUGCAUCAACUUUCGCAAAUGGAUGCAAUAUUGGGGGCUUCUUCUUUAGCUUUGAAAGGUGCUUUUUAGGAAUAGAAGGAAACGUACCUCGCUUACUCUUUCUUUGUGUAGCGGGAUGAUCAUCAUUACUGUCGUCAACAUUAUCAGCGUUAUCACCAUCACUGCCAAUAGUUUUCCUCUUCUUACUAUGUGCCUAUCAAAAAGAAAAAAAAUAGAUUUUUUAAAUACCUUGUAAACAAAAUUUUCAAUCUUGCAAGCAUUCUUUUAACAGAAAUUUCUCGCAAUCUCAUAAUAAAUUAGAUACUAACCUCUUUCCUUGUUGGAACAUCAACAUCAGCACUAUCAACUUGUUUCUGCCUCUUUCUCGGCACCUAAAAUAGUAAAAAACACCGUUUAAAAGUACUUUUAAAAUCCCUUAUAAACAUCAUUACAAGACAAUUGACAAUUUUUUAAAACAGUACCGUUGCAAACACUAACCUGUUUUCUUGUUUUAACAUUAUCCUCAGCAUGAACACUUGGUUUAACUCUCUUGUUUUGAAGUUGCAAGAAAGAUAAACUUUUUAAAGAUUUGAAAAAAACAUAAUAUAUAAACACUUGGUGAGAUAAUACAAAUUUUUUAAAAUGUUAACCUCAUUUCUUCCUCUGCUAACUCUCUUCUUAUCCUUUUGAACAUCUAGACUUUCUUCUAGAAAAUAUUGAAAUUUGGUGUAGAGGAUCGUGGAGUAGGAGACUGAUCCUUCAAAAGAUAAUAGAAUGUAAAGUUAUAAAAAGGAUACUAAUCAUUUUUGUAAGACUUUUAGAGAAAUAAGAUUACUGCACUUUUGAUGAUUCUUCAGCUAUUUCAUCACUAACAUCACGUUGGGUGUUUUCAUCAUCACCCAGAUAGCUCUCAUACUGUGUGUUUGGCUCUUGGAUUGAAUCUUCAAAUGUGUCAUUUUCAUUCUACAACAAAAUAAAACAAUAAGUCAAUCGAUAAUAUACGUAGUAAACCUUUAAAAUACCUAUAUGAUACAUUGUAAACCUUUCUAAAAACCUUUUAAAUAACUUUCUAAAUACCUAUUUAACCUCUAAAAUACAUUGUAAAACCUUUGUAAGACCUUUUGAAUAACUUGUAAAGAUUUUCAAUUACCUCUGCUUUUCUUUCUAGUCUUCGUUCUUCUUUAGACUGCGGAAAAAGAGUACAUUGUAAAGGUUUACUACGUAUUUAACCUCUGCUAUUCUUUCUAGUCCUUCAUCUUCCUCAGAUUGCGAAAAAAAAGAGUACACCUUUUUAAUUAACUUUUGUAAAUUGAUUUAAGUACAUAAAAUCUUUAAAACUUUUCUCUUACCUUUUGUUUUCUUUCUUCAUCUUCAUCAGAUCUCUGAUUAUUCUUUUCCUCCAUUUUAGUGUUCUAAAAUCCUCUCAAUCAGCUCGACUCUCUUGUUAAGAUCUUAAAGGAUUGUCAAAAUCCUGUCAAGCUUCUCGCUAUCAAAUAUUUUGUUAUUCAUUUUCUGUUGACCUACUUCUUCAAGGGCAACAAGAACAUCAACGCAUCUUGUAUUCUAUUCAGUUUUCUUCAUUUUGUAGCCCAUCUUAAGAAGUUCCAAAACUUGUUGGAAUUCUAUGUCGUCUGUGCGGAAAUCAGGAACUAAAGACUUGAAGUCUUCUAGGUUUCCAAUAAUUGUAUUCACUUCAAUCUACAAAGAUACAAUAACAUUAAAAAUCUUGAGAAAGCAGAACUUCAAAUCUCAAAACCAUUCUAAACACCUUUUAAGAGCUCUUCAAAUUCUGUAAAUAGACAAAAGCUUACCUCAGAAACAUCAUUUACAAGGUUUACAACCUUGAAAAACUCUGGCGUGGUAGUGCUUUUCCACUUCAAUAUCAAUGGAUAUUCAGAUUGGCAUUCCUUAUCUCUAACUCCAUAUGCUGCACCAAAUGCUGGAACUGCGCUCAACACCCAUAUGGUCCGCACGAGUCCAAUUCCUCUCAGAUCAUAUUUCAUCUUUUGCCCAAGUUUUCUCGUCCAUUCUCAGAAUUGAAUUUGAUAGAACACUGAAUGCUUCUUUACCCCAUGGUUGGGCUGUGUACAUCUCAAAAUCAGAAGCAUGCUGCAAUCUUAACAAAGGUAUCUUCUCUCUUUCAAAUGGUGUGAAUAGAAUUCCUUCAGUCAACAAUACUGCACCAAGACACAGCUUUUCUUCAUUUUCAACAGCAGGUUCACCUUCCUUAGUUUUUGGAAACAAUCGAUCUUCGAGAUCACCAAGAGUAUAUACUCCUUCCCUCGCCCAAAAGUAUGGUUCUUUUACAUGAUCUUUGCCCUUUCGUCGAAGUUCCCUAUUAACAGGUUCACAUUGAAUUCAUGUAAGAAUAAAAGACAAUGUAGAGACUAUUAUUACACGUUUUAUAGUAAACACUUUAAAAACGAUUGUAAAUCAUGUUUAACCCUUUAAAAAGCUUUUAAAAUCCCUUGUAAAUCAUUCUAUGUCACUUACUUAUGCUUUGAAAACGAUUGUAAAUCAUGUUUUACCCUCUUGUAAGGUUUUAAAAUCCCUUGUAAAUCAUUCUAGACCACUUACAGACCAGUUGAUAUUCAAGACCCACCUAAUGUUGAUCAACCAAAAAACAUUGGUGCUGGUGAUGCCCCAAGAAAUCAUCACCAAAGACAAGGGAUAGUGCCACCACAAGUUCAGAACAACAACUUUGAGAUCAAGAGUGGUCUCAUCUCCAUGAUCCAAGGAAACAAGUUUUAUGGUCUACUUAUGGAAGACCCCCUAGACCAUCUUGACAGCAUUGAUAGGCUUUGUGGCCUUACCAAGAUUAAUGGUGUCACUGAAGAUAUGUUUAAGCUCAGACUAUUUCCCUUCUCUUUGGGAGACAAGGCACACCACUGGGAGAAGACUCUACCCCCAGACUCCAUCACCUCAUGGGACGAUUGUAAGAAAGCUUUUCUUGCCAAGUUUUUCUCUAACGCUCGCACCGCUAGAUUGAGGAACGAGAUCUCAGGUUUCAACCAGAAAAACAAUAAAACUUUCUGUGAAGCUUGGGAGAGGUUUAAAAGCUACAACACUCAGUGCCCCCAUCACGGUUUCAAAAAGGCUGCAUUAUUGAGCACACUCUACAGAGGAGCUUUACGAAAGAUCAGAAUGCUACUUGACACUGCCUCCAAUGAAAACUUCCUGAACAAGGAUGUGUAGAAGGUUGGGAGUUGGUCAAAAAUCUAGCACAAUCUGAUGGGUGCUACAAUGAAGACUAUGAUCACUCAAUGAGAGGAACUAGAGGAACUGAGGAUAAACAAAGCAAAGAUAUCAAGGCUCUGAAUGAAAACUUAGACAAGCUGUUGCUGGCUCAAUAGAUGCAGAUACACUACAUCACUGAUGAAGAGCACUUCCAAAUGCAAAAAGGGGGGAAUGAUUAAACUGAAGAGCUGUACUACAUUCAGAACCAAGGAGGAUUUAACAAGGGCUACAACAACUACAAGCCCACUCCUACAGAAGCACUAAUGUUGCUAACCCCCAAGAUCAAGUGUAUCCACCUCAACAUAAUCAGUCUAAGCAUUUGUUCAGUACAACCAAGGUUAUGUCCCUAAACAACAAUUUAAUGGAGGCUACCAACAGCAGAAUCCACCACCAGGGUUCACUCAACAACCACAACAAGCCCCAGCAACUCAAGAUCCUAAAAUUAAGCAACUCAUUCAACAAAUCAUCCAAGGACAAGCUACUGGAGCCAUGGCUUUUGAAAAGAAGAUAGCUGAAUUACACAACAAGAUCGAUUGUUCCUACAACGAUCUGAAUCUCAAGUUUGAAACUCUGAAUUCAAAAAUCAAGUAUGUGGAGAGUCAAUUUGCAUCAACUUCUGCUCCGAAGCAUCCUUAGCAACUUCCACGGAAAGCAGUCCAGAAUCCAAAGGACUAUGGUACUGCUAAUUCUAUCACCAUCCACCAAGAAGAUGAAUCUCCACCAAGUCAUCAGACUCCCAAUACUGAGGACAGUAUGAUUCAAGAAGGGGGGGGAUUCAACUCAAAUUGAUGCACCUGCCACCCAGCAAUUCUUCUGGACAAUAGAGCACACACCUUUGCUGAAUACUCAACAUUCUGGAAAAAAGUUCAAAAUUGAAAAACUCAAGCAAGAGCAGAAUCAAGAGAUGAUUAGCAGUGCCAGCACUCAAGAAACAUACAAGAAGAAAGUCAUCCAAGAAAAGCUUGAUGAUCCCGGUUCAUUCACCCUGCCAUGCUCUCUAGGACCAUUGACAUUUAAUAGGUGCAUUUGUGAUUUGCGAGCAUCUGUUAGCCUUAUGCCUCUCUCUACAGCUAAAAUGCUAGGGAUCAUGGAAUUCAAGUUCUGCAACUUAGCCUUACUCUUAGCUGACGGUUCUGUUGCACAUCCUCAUGGUCUAAUAGAAAAUCUGCCUGUCAAGAUUGGAAAUGUUGAGAUACCUACAGACUUUGUGGUAUUGGACAUAGAUGAAGAAGGCAAGGAUCCCCUGAUCCUAGGCAGACCAUUCUUAGCUUUAGCUGGAGCAGUCAUAGAUGUCAGGAAUGGAAAAAUUAAUCUGAACCUUGAAAAAGGCAUCAAGAUGAAGUUUGACAUCAGAGAAGCUUCAAAGAAAUCAACAACAGGAGGUCAGAGUUUUGGAAUUCAAGAUAUGGAUGUUGAUGAAGAAACAGAAGCUGAAACUUCACCAAAAGUCAACUAUACUUCUCAACUUAGCAAGCUGAAGAGAACUUUUGACCACAAGAAGAGAGCAACAGAAAGGCUAUCUCAGACUGAAUAUCCUACAGAAGAUAACUGGUAUGAGAUGAGAAAAAAAAAUAAAUGGCAAAGAAGAGUCAUAGAAGGAUUAUCUUCAAGGGUGAUGAAGCUGAAAGAUCAACUAUGGAUCUUUGAAAAAAGAGUUAAAAAAUUUUCAAAUGGUAUUGACCUUGAGAAGAUGGAAAAUGCACUAGCUAUCAAGGAGGACGAAAAUUUCACAACAGAACGGUUUGCACCAGAAGAUCAGAAAGGAGUUCACUUAGAGGAAAGAAGUCUAGAGAGCAAGUUGUUGAGUGUGGAGGAAACUCCUAUUGUGACUUAUUCUCCAGGAGUGCCUAAACAGCCCACCAACCCCUCUGCUGAAGAUGAAGACUUGACACUUGAUUCUGUUACUGAAGAACUUCUGGAACUCAGGAUAGAAUACAAAGCUCAAAAGGAUACCAUUGGGGAGCUAACUUACAAGAUGGAAGGACUGAACCAUGCAAUCUUGGAACUUCAAGAAAUGGUUAAAGGCUACCCCAGUUUUGAAUUUGAGGAUUGGUCAAAAGAGCCUGGUUCAGAAGAAGAAGACUACUCUGCUGAUCAGAAAGAAGCUUACUUUGAAGAAAAAUCAAAUGAGUACUCAUCCUACCAUAUCUCAAGAGAGGAUGCAGAGUAUGAUUCAAGCACCAAAAAUUCAACCACUGAAGAUGAGGAUUUCUCUGUUCCUCUCUUCAACCUCUUUUCUGACUAAGCUCUGUAAGAGUCAAGUUUAGUGACUUAAAACAAGCUCACUUGGGAGAAAGUCCCAUAUCUAUCCAUGUAAAUAACUUUCUAUUUUUCUUGUUAUUUUUGAUGUUUUUGUUUAAGUGUUUCAGGUUUGUUUUAGUGACCCUAAGGUAGUCAACGGUCAAGUAAAUUCAAACCAAGUCAAGAAAAAUCUAAACCGUUGAUCGAGCAAAAUGAGGAGGAGUAUUUUUAACCAUUGAUUUGGAUGACCAAAUGAGAGGAGAAUCACCACCGUUUGAUCGAGUGAUUUUUUGCGAUUCAUUCUGGUCCGUUUGAUCGAGUGAUUGAGGAUGGAGGAUUUCUCACCGUCCGAUCAAGUUAAGAAACCAAAGAGAUCCUCUUCGUAGACACCGACGCCUCGUGACCCGCCUCCAUUGAAACGUUGUUGUCCCUUUGUCUUCUUGUCCCCCCAUAAUCACUUUGGUCCCCCCAUUGCAAUUCUCGAACUCAACAACCUCAUAUCUCCACCUCCCAUACCAAAGCAUUCUCGAAUCCUUACAAUUCCCUCUUUAUCUCCUUCACUUCCCUUUCUUAUCAAAAACUUUUCACAAAUUCAUUGUUUCCUCCAUCAUUCAAUCUCCUAAUCUACUGAAUUUUGGUUUUGAGUUUCUCCCACCUUUGUUCUUGAUGAUGAAUAGGCGCUCGCUUUUGUCAAGGAUUCAGAACAAAGCUCUCUCCCCAUCGAAGAGGUACCCAACACCUUCUUCGCAUGCAGCUGCUCGAGGACCUUCUGAAUCAUCACCCUUGGGGUCGAGCAUGAGAGAACAAGCAAGUUUCAAGCUCGAUCAUAGUGAAUCGAGCCAAGAGGAGGAAGUGAUGCAAGAAGAGACCUUCAGCUCUCCAGCUGGAAAUACUCGAUCCCGAAGGUCGAGUAAGACCUCUACAAGAGAAUUCUUAAGGAACAAAGCAGAUAUCACUCAAGGGAAGAAGCCCGUGGGGAGGAGGUUGGAGCUGGUAGAUGAAGACUCCAAGGAAGAAAUGGGUUCACCAGAGGAAGAUGAUCAAACAGAGAAAAGAGGCGAUGAUGAUUUGGAAUCAGAAAAGUGUGCAACUCGAAACGAGUACUACAAGCUGCUGAAGCGCAAUGAGUUUUUAGGAACUCGGUACUCUCAUCCUGAGACCAUGGAGAGACUCGGCAUCUAUGAUGAUGUAGACUACAUGUUUAAACAGUGCAGCCUGAAUAUUCACAUGUUUUCGGCCAAUGGAGGAAGAGACUUUUCAGUUUCUUUCAUCUGUGGAAUAGCUCUUAUAUGGAGAGUUAGAGGACGAUGAAAUCAGGCCAGACGGGAGUUUGGGGUACUUGGAGUUCUGUGUUUAUGACGUAGAGUAUCGACUUCCAAUAGAGCAUCUCGAGCUGAUGUAUGGAUUUCCAAGCGGAAAAGACACGAGUCAUCGUUUUGACAAGAAAGAGCUUCAGUCAUUCUGGGCCACGCUUGGAUCUAAGCAUGGAUUUUCAUCCUCUAGGACCAAGAGCAACGAGAUAAGGAGUCCGGUGGUUAGAUACUUUCAUAGGUCCUUGGCAAGUGCGCUAUUUGCAAGAGAGCGGAAUGGAACCUUUGUCAAUGGAGAACUAGAGUUGAUGGAGACAGCACUGCAAGAGUUGCUUGGUUUAGCAUCGGAUGGUACAAUUCUAGCUGGAGAUCAGACAAACACUUCGGUCUCAUUCUACCUAAUCGAGCACCUGCUGAGUUACAGAGGAUGGGCUAAGGGACUUAAGAAACUAGGAAGAAUGGUUGUGGGAGGAGUUAUGACACCAAUUCUGAGAGCUUGCAAUGUACCUUUACAUUCAACGCCGAUUCCUCCGAGAUGGAUUGAUAUGCAGCACCUUAUCAAUUUCAAGAGUUUUUGGUCGCACCAGAAGAAUGGCAUAUAUAAGUAUAGGUUCGAUCACCCCACAACAGGACAAUCCAUUUUUCUCCUCCCAAACCCCGCUUCCACUUCGAUCAGAGAUGGUGGCAACAUUGAGUUUUGCCCACCAAUGGAGAACCUCUAUAUUUCAGGUGAUGAAGUUGUGCCGGUGGAAGGAGUGAAUGAUGAUGAGGCCCCAAUCCAUCAUUCUGAUAAUGAGGCAGAACCUACACAACAAUUUUACUUUGAGGAGUACUCAGCACCAAGGCAAAGUAAAGACUCAAAGGAGAUUCACAAGCGCCUUGGUUUCCUCCAAAGCUGGUGUAAGUUCCAAGACAAGGCUCUCGCGGCACUCAAUAAGAAGUUUAACAAUCUCCAACUCAAGAUCAGCUGUUCUUCCUCAACCACAGCAAUGCUACAGAACAUGCCUUUUGGGAGAAGCGGAUCCACUCGUCACGAACCUAUGCAUUUCGAUCCGCCUUCGCCACCAAGACAGUCUUCAUAUGAGCCAAGGGAACACCAUGCUGCACCUUCACCACCAAGGCAAUCAUCCUUCGAACCUAGAGAAAAGGAAAAGAGGAGCAAGUUGAAAAAGCGAAGAAGAACAAGGAAAUCAGACGCUGGAGCAAGCCACUCUACUGCACCACUUGAGGAGCCACUCGGUCAACAACCCGAGCAAAGGGUUGAGCAUCCAGCUAAUCCAAGUUCAGCACAACGCAUUCCUUGGAGUUACACAAAGGAGAGUAUGGACGAUUUCGUCUCCUCCUACUUCACCUGAUAACUGACGUAACACCACCUCUCCAUUGUAUAUACCAUAACAUCAUUUUAUUUUUCUUUGUGUGCUUUGUGCUUUGGUCUUGAAUUCUCUUUCAGAUUUUUAUUACACAAGGGAUUAUGAAAUUUAAGUUUGGGGGAGGGUUCAAGACAUGUUUAACAUUGUGUUCUCUUUUCUUAUUUCAAUUUUUGCAUCAUCUAAGGCAUAGAAAAACCCAUACAAAUUUGAAACAUUUUCAGAAAAUGAUUUCAUAAGAAAAAGAGUGUCAUGAGAUUGCAUAUCAUUUUAGGAUUGUAUAUAGAGUGUUUGCAUUUAGGAUUGCUCAUUUGCAUUGGGGAUGAUGAUGAUUUCAAACCGAUAAGCAUGUUUUGAUCCAAUGAAGUAAGUUCAAUGCCCAGGUUGUUAGUUCUCUGUUGCAUAACCGAUUGUAUCUUUGAAGUAAGACCGCACCCUGCUAUGAAUUUCACUACAACAAAUAUCAACAUUAUUAGCCAGUGAAAAGCGCUAUAAUAUGUCAUUAAUAGCGUUUUCAUAAAAGCUAUCUUAUGCCCCUAUUAUUGUAGACCCCCACAUACGAUAGCGUCAGAAUUGUAUGCUAUGUUAUAGUUUUCUACGAUAGCUCUAAUGAAACGCUUUAUUAGAGAACACCAAUAUUUUUGCUAAAUUAUUUAAUAAUCCAUAUUCUUCUCUAUGUUAGGUGUUUCAACCAUAGCAUUACGAAAACAUUACAUUACAUUUGAAGUUUUUAAUAGUAGGAUUUGUGUCUGCGAUAAUAUAUGUUUUUCAUAAGAAUGAUAACCUGUAAUGAUUGAACUCACCGAAAGUUUUUAACAAAAGCAUCAUUCAUUUGCCAUAAACAUCCAAUACACAUAAGUCUAAAUCCAGGAUACACAAUACAAUUCUAAAGCCAUGUUCUACUUAACUACAUUAUCCAAAACGAAUUACAAACACAACAAAAGUCUAAAGAGUAUAGUAAACCUCAAGACAUGAUAACCUUGUCCUCUGGCCAUGCAAUGGCUGUGCCAAGUGCAUCUUCCAUGAUCUCGACUUCAUCUGAUGGCCUCCACACUUUUACAUCGCUUACUUUCACAAUAUCGACCCACACUUAAACUGCAUUAUCACCCAAUGGAACAAAGUGAACCUUCUGUUUUGGAUCGUUUGUUGCCCAACGUCCUUCCGCCACAACUCGUUUCUUUCCGGUAAUAUCCAUCAACUUGCACUUCAUAUUUUCCUUAGAAACGCCUUGAUUGAAACACUGCCAUGUUCAUAACAUUAAUAAACCAAAGACUGAUUCAAUAUGACAGAAGCAAUUUCAAGAUACUAAGGAAACAUUUACCUGAGAUUUCUCUAGAGUUUUCUGACUUGGAGAGCUUGGAGCAUUUGCAUUCUCCAAAGGAGUUUCAGAUCCUGAAGCUGAAGACUUAGAACUUGUGGAUUUAGAAGCUGCAGAUUUUGCCCCUGCUGAAGAUUUGGAAGCUGAUCCUGAGGGCUGAAGAGAUGACUUCUGAUUACCACUAGCAGAUGGGAGAUUUUCAAAUACCACUUUAUGCACAGGCCAUGAUAUAAAAGUCAUCAAACAAUCCUCAAGGUACGUCAUUUCCAUUGUAGGCCUCCAUACAAAUGUUUCUGGCAUGAGCACUUUAUCCACAAAAACUUUAACUGCGCUCGGUCCAAGAAGAAGUCCAUUAACCAAUGCAUUUUGCUCUUGUGUCUACCAUCGACCCUCAGCAACAAUGACUUCAUCUGUUGACAAAUCCAAUAGCUUACAUUUGUUCUGAGAAUUUCCUCUAAGUCCCUGUCAAACACAUUUAGUUAAAAAAUCAAAUUAAGACUCUGUCUCUACUUGAUCAAACAUGAACUCAUCAAAAAGCUGACUAAGAAUGUGCUGAAAUCUGCAGUUUACCAAAGGCGCAAUGUCCUCUAUUUCGAGAUCCUUCUCUACAAGAACACAUUUAGAUGCAGGCCAUGCAAUCAUCUGUCCAACAGCUUCCGUGAUAGUAUACAUGUUAGGUGCAGGUCGCCAUAGAAAUGCAUCUGGUGUAUUAGCAACUUCAACCAACACCUUCAAGUCCACAGGGCCUAGACGACAGUCAUUAACCAUGUCAUCAGGAUCAGAAGAAAGAAUUCGCCCCUCACCAAUGAUAUCCUCAGGACCAGACCAAUUAACCAACAAACAUUUAGGGUGUGUUCUUCUAUUUACACUCUACAAAAGAAGUCAAAACUUUAAUAAAAAGAAGUGAUUCCAAAACUGAUGGAAUAAAGGAAGAAGGAAUCACUUAUCCUGGCAGCAGCAGAGUUUUCACCCACUUCAAGUUCAUGUCUCUGCUUCAUUCUGGUAAGUUCAUCUUGCAGCUCAUUGACCUUCUUCAUUAAAAGAACUUGCUUCUCUUCCAUGUCAGUCAUGCACUUGCUCUUGACUUGGAGGCAAGCUAGUUCUGUUUUACUCAUGCCUCUACCCAUUGCUCUCAGCCUACCCGGAUUGUCUGGUCCUAAAAGUUGAGAGAGGUGAUCUUCUUCUGGAUUUGCUGACGUUGGUGGACCAUCAUUUCCAACCAGCUCAGCCGCCUUUCUCUACAUAAUAUGAAAUUGUGUUAUCUACUAAUAUUGAUAACUGAAACCAUGAUCAGUCUUGCAGUGAUUACUUACAAUCUUUUCAGUAGCAUUAGUGUUCACCAGCGUACCAUCCUUUUUGGUACGAGACUUUACCCAGACCUUUAGCCUUGUCACUUUUGAUGGAUCUCCACUUUCAAGUUUCUGUGUCAAAAAAAAAAUAUCAUUCAAAUAUAUGAGAAUGCAUUCUUACCAGAAGAGACAACUUACAUGUCAAUUUACUUAGCAUGUCUUCUGCUAAUCUCACCAUUCCUUUACGACUUGUAGUAUGAGGUAUUUGAUUCCUCCUCCUUUCUUUGUAUUUCUCACUCACAACCUACCAAUUAUACAUGUUAAUAAUUGACAAAUAAAAGUUAAAAUGGUCAUAAUUCCAACUCAUUACCUUAAAGGCUGCGCUAGUUUUGACUUUAACAAAUUUGCGCCAUUUUGUUGGGGAAAUAUUCAUGGGUCUCAUAUUCAUCCUUUGCUGAUUAUUAGGAGCCAGAUUAAUAUCUUUGACAGUCCGGGACUUGUAUGACCUCCACAGACUGCCCAUUUGUUUUAGAACAGCAACCCUUUGAAACUCUUCAUCAAGCUCAAACCUUACUUGCAAUCAUUUACCAUCACACAAAGUAUGGAAAUAAACCUUUACACAACUAACACACAGAAAAAGAGACUGAAAAGAAGAAUUUACCUGCACAGAUUUCCAGAGAACCGUUUUCAUAUCCUGACUAACAUCCUUCCAAGUUUCAAUUGUGAUAGGAACAUGUUCACGUACCAAUGUGCCUACAUAUGAUGCCAGUUUAACUGAACCUGGACCAACAGGAUCUCCCAUAAUAGUGUACUCAACUCUUUCUCUAACAGUUGGAUCCUUGGCGAUGUUCUUCAUCUUUGUUGGUCCCUUUGUCUCUUAUGCUUAGCCGGAGGCUCAGUUCCUUCUGACAAUUCAAUCUCACCUAUCGCCUCUUCCUCAUUCAGCCCAUCCUUAUCAGUCACUAAAGGAUUCUCCUCAGCUUGUUGGUCUAUUACAGGCUCAAUUUGAGACUCAGUUUCCUUAGCAGGCUCAGGUUCAUUAUCACACUCAGUUUGCUUAGCAGGCUCAGUUUUCUCAGCUGCUGUAUCUUGGGGCUCAAUGGUGCCUAUAUACUCUGGCUCAUCAUCUACAACUUUCUUCUUUCUUUUCUGUCCACCUUUCUUCUUUGCUUUACCCAUUUCAGUUCACCUGCAUUUCACAAAAAGAAUUCCAUGUCAAUCAUACUUCUAAAAACGAAAACGACUCACCAAACAAGCAAGAGUAAACAUAGAGCAUGCAAGGCAUAAAACAAUGACUCAUAAAAUGAAUAAGAAUCUACAUUUGGCACAUAAAUGCCUUCACAAUCAGAUCUAGCAUAUUCAGCUUCAUCCAUUUCAGCGUCCAUGUCAAUAUCUGUUGGUAAUGGACCAAUCUCUGCGUUUCCUUCCUGAGCAUCUUCUUUACUAUAUCUUCUUGAUGAACCUUUCAUUGCAACAUACCAACUAGAUGAAUCAUCUACCCUUGAAUAGAAGACUUGCUUCGCCUGAGAUGCUAAUAUAAAUGGAUCCUUUAAAAAGCUGACUUGACUCUGAUUCAAGUUGACCAACGUGAACCCAUCCUCUACCUUAACCCCAUUACCUCUAACAGCCCAUUGACACCGAAAUAUAGGAACAUAGAACACAUUGUAGUCCAGCAAUAUGAUAUCAGUUACUGUCCCAUAGUACGAUACCAAGUCAACAACUUGUGUUGUAUCUUUAGCACUGGAUCUACACAUAGCUGUUGCUUCAUAAUAAACUCCACUAUUCUGAAUUUGCCUUUCAAGUGACCGUGUGUGAAACCGUUGUCCAUUCACAAUAUAACCAGAAUAGGACCUUGCACUACAUCGUGGACCAUAUGCAAGCCAUUUAAUUGUAUCUUCAUGUCCAUUUGAAGAAAGAGGUAUCUACCAAAUGAUAAACAGAAAGUCAGUCACUUAUGUUCUCAUAAACCAUAAAAUUCAGAUCGUGGAAGUACUUGCCUGUUCUUUUAUCCAAGAUGCAAAAUUCUUGGCAUGCAUAUUCCAUAAGAAUGAUGCAUCACGUUUACAUCUUGGAUUUGUGUCUUGGAGAUAUUGCAAGUGCAUGCUGUUCACAGUUAAACACAAUCAGUUGAAAACUCAGCUUGUUAUAUUUAGUUUAAUUCGUAAAUGAGCAUUAGAUGCAUUCCUGAAAAAGAUAGUACUUACUCCACAUAAGGAUCAAAGGCAGCCAUAUUUUGGAUGACAGCAAGAUGGGCUAUGUUCUUAUCUACUUCAGUGAGCAUAAA